CAAGAGGCUGGUAACCUGAAUUACUGCUACUGAGACGAGAAGAUGUAUUUAUGCGGAACAUGAGAAACUUUCCACCAAUCUUCACCUCUAUCUCUCUGACAACGCCUUUGGAGAUCAGGGCAGUCUUGAAUAGAUAGGUGCUGGAGUUUUUCCAGGCGUUGAAAAGCAAGAGGCAAGGAUUUUAUAUUAGGGCAUUCAGAUAUUGCUAGUGUUCUCAGUGUGGCAAAACUGUCCAACCACUCUGGCAAAUUUGCAAUUCUUUGACAGUUCCGUAUUUCCAGACGCUGAAGUGUUUUGACGUGCUGGAGACUCUCGGGCAAACAUUCUAUCAGAGAGCAGUUUAUAAUGGCCAAACUUAAAAGGGAAGAAAGGUGCUCUAAACUAUCUGGCAAACCAGCUAGAUUUGGACAGUACAUAAUGGUCAAGUGUUUGAGAGCUGUAAGAUAUUGAAGUCCAGCUGAUAUGGAACUCAGUUUACUGCAGUUCUCAAUUGACAAGGUCUGAAGAGAUAUCAAACCUCCAAUUGGAUUCUCUGGAAGAGUUUCAAUACUGUUGCACUCAAUGAUUUCGAAAUACUCCAAAGCAUUGAGGUUUUCAAAUCCUUCCGGUGGCAAGGAGAGUUGAUCACACCAUCGAAUGUUCAGCGAUUUAAGGGAAGUCAGGCAUCUGAAACCUGAACCAAGGAGCCGAAGUGUCCGGCAAGAUUUUAUCUUCAAGCUCGUGAGGAGACAAUUAUUUCUGACCAAAUUUUCUGGUAGAGAUGACAAAUCAUCAAACCCUUCAAUUAUUAUGGUUGAAAGCAACGUUAAUUCUUCCAUUCUAUUUAACAAGAUUGAACGACAACUCUGCAUCUCCAAAUGCUUUAGAGAGCGAAACAAUGGGAGUGAAUCAAGGUUUGGACACUUUCUGAUGACUAAUUUGCUCAGUAGUGGAGAUUUUUCUGUGUCAUUCAGACAAUCCCACGUUUGCAAACUUGGAAAGUCUAUCAUAAAUAAUUCUUGCAGUGAUGGAAAUGAUUUACGAUCCUCACCGUAGAACUCACGGCCAAUAUGCACAAUGUUGUCCAUUCCUUCCAUGCGCAGUGUUCUAAGAAAUGGAAGAUGACCAAGAAUUGGUAGCUGCACGCAUCCUCGGCAAUUGAUCAACACCAUCUCAGUUAGGUUUGGAAGAACCCAGUGUGGAAACUUGAUUCCAGGAUAACCAACUAUGAACAUUUUCUUCAAAUUUUUAUGUGGUUGGAGGCCCGCCAAAACUUCCCCAGCCAAGACCGGAUCACAAUCAGAAGCAUGUGUUUCAGGCUCCCCUGACGGCCCUGGUACAUGCUCCUUUCUUUCUUGGAAUCUGGCUAUGUUGGCUUCUAAAGCAGGAUUCAUGAUGAGAUCUGCUGCUUCAUCUCCCCAACAAAGUCCUAAGGACUCCAGAUACUCUUUAUUCAUCAGAGGCAUCGAUUCCACUUGUUUAACAUCAUCAACUCGCUCUAAGCGCUUGAUUUUUAGUUCCCCUUUAAGUGCAAAAAGUUUCAGAUGUGAUAUGAGAGCGUGAUACUCACACUUACGAUGAAAAAAUUGUUUGCGGUUCAAGCACAUAUCACAUUUAUGCCCAACAACAUAUAUUGGCAGUGUCUGAAGGUGAGAUAAAAGUCCGAUGCCAAAGGGCAUCUCCUUCAGUGCUUCACAUCCGCUGAUGUUGAGAUGCCUUAGGCCUCUCAUUACAGCCAAAUCGGGCAACGAUCUAAGAUUGUAGCAACGGAAUAAAUUCAAUGUCAGUAGAGAGCGGAGGGAAGAUAUUUCUUUUGGUAAAUUGUAGAAAUGAUUGUUGGACAGAUCAAGAUGUUUCAAUAAUGGCAGGCAAUUCAUUGAAGGCAGCUGCACUAGGCAUCCACUUAGAUCCAGCAUCCUCAAGAAACGAAAAUUUUUAAAGAUGUCGGAACACUCUUCCAGAGCUCCACCUUCUGAGAACACAAGGAGAGUACGCAAAUGUUUUAUCUGAAGGAGGGCAUCUGGAAUGGGGAACGAUAUACGCUUAGAUACAAUUGAUGCAUGACGAACUAGUUCGAGAUUGUUUCCUGCAGGUGUGUUUGUUAAUACUAAAUAUUCAUUUUCUGUAAGAGAUUGGGCAAGACUCUGAAAAUCUUCAUUCAUCUUGUACCUUCUUAUCGCUCCACCUUCAUAUUCCUGGACAUCUUCAAACACGGACAUCGAGACCAACUCAUUGAAAUACUCAUCCCCAAUUUCUUCUAGUGCCUUGCUUUCACCAUCUGGAAGAAUUAGGCCUAGUGCCAUCCACAUAUGGAUUAAUUUCUCCCUCUUGAUUUCGUAAUUCUUCGGAAAUAUUGAGCAGAAUGCAAAGCAAUGUUUGAGAUGCGGCGGCAAAUGCAUGUAACUUACCAGUAGGACAGGUAAAAUUUUCUUUUUGUAAUCCUGCCAAAUCCAAAGAUUACUAUUCUGCACAUUCAACCACUCCCUCUCCUCUCUCUUGAAGCGCAUGAGACCACCAAGAAUUUUUGCAGCCAAAGGCACACCUCCACAUUUCGGCAUUAGUUCUUUCCCAAUUGCAUGAAGGUUUGGAUACUUCUCUUCUUCUGUUCGAGUAAAAGAAGCACGCUUUGAGAAUAUUUUCCAGCAAUCAUCAUCAGACAAACCCUUCAAGCGAUAUGAUGUAUCUAAACUGCCUACAACCGAUGCAGCUUUUUGACUGCGGGUUGUGACAAGUAUUUUGCUUCCGUCAAGUCCGCACUCGAACAGUGGCAUCAGUUUAUCCCAAUCAUCAUGAUCUUCACUCCAAACAUCAUCAAGCACGACAAGAAAUUUCUUUUUUUCUAAUGAUUCCCACAUUCGAGAGUGCAGACCGUCAAAGUCAUUUGAAUCACAUUCAUUUCCAGUUUAUUUCUUAAUUAUUUCUUUAAUUAUUCUUUUGGCAUUAAAAUCACUCGAUACAAAAACCCAAAUUCUUAAAUCAUUGAAAUGUUUCUUUACCUUAUCGUCAUUAUAGAUGAACUGAGCAAGAGUGGUUUUUCCAAUGCCUGGAGUACCAACUAUUGAUAUCACAGAUGUAGUUCCUCCACCGACUAUUCCAGAUGGUGUUAAUAACAUAUCUAUUAUCUUCCUUUUGUCUUCCUCCCUUCCAUAAACCUUAGAUCCAAUGACAAAAGAGCUAGUUUCCUUCUUGUCAAAUUGCUCAUCCUCAAUAUUCCUUUCUGCUAAGUGUAAGCUGAGUCCUUCCGCUGCUGCCUUUUCUAAAUUAUCACGAAUGAUCCUUGGGUAGGCGGAAUUAAGAGAAUAUCUUUGUCUCACACGCAUAGAGUCACAUUCGAAUUCUUCAAGCAAGUCCUCUACUUUGCAGGCUGCAUCUUUGAGCUGACAAAGCCAAAUUCUAACAGCUUUAUCAGUAAUUUGCCGCUCUUCUGCAUCCUGGAUAACAGCUUGGACCCUUGGCAGUAUACUUUGGAGGUUCUCGAGCCGGUUACUGAGAUUCCAAAUAUCAGCAAACAUUUGAACAACAGGGUCCGCUAUCUUCUCAAUUAUAACCUGUAAAAAUGGAGGCACAAAGAUGCUUGCCAUCUUCAAGCUUGGUGCUUGAUCAAUUUUGAGACGAAAAAGAUAUUGUGAAGAACAAAUUAUUUUUCUCAGUUUCAGUAAGUCAAUAAUUUGCAGGUUGCAACUUUUUCCAGAGAAAAUAGCAAAACAGGCCAAAAAGUAGAGGCUGGAAACUUCCUUCUAAUUUCCUGUGAGAUUCCAAUCAUAUUUUUGAAACUCAAAAGAGAUUUCCUAAUUUUUAUUACCCGUGGAAAGUAAAAUCAAAUUUUCAAAAUUAAUAAAAUUUAUGAUUAAAAAAGUUAUGAAUCCCACGAUUAACAUUAAUUAUUAACUUUAAUUUUAAUAAAAAUUUAGAUUAUAGUUUCAGUGAUGCAGGAAUUUAUUUUUCAAUAAAAUUGCAAAGUCCAAGGAAACACUUUUUGAAAUGUUUUUACCGAAAUUCUUGAAAACUUUAAUUAAGGUCCGUUUGCUUACAAAGGUGGAAUUUGGGUGGAAAAAAAAUGAAUUCUAGGAAAUUGAAUUGAUGGGAAAUUGUUUUACUGGGAAUUGUCAAUUGAUAGUGUUUAAUUGGUAUAAUUUUCUACGUGCAAAAUAUUGAAAUAAAAGUGUUUUUUGAUGUCCGUUUGGCAUUAUUUUACGUGAAAAUUGUCAGUUAAAUAGAUGAAAUUUAUUGGUAUUGGAAAUGAAAUUUAUUUCCAUUGCCAAAAUAAAAAAAAAAUUUCAAGAAAAUCGUCUAUCUUUUAAUGUUCGUUUGACUUUGUUUUACAUGAAAAUUGUCGAUUAAAGGAAAAUAUUUUUUUACAAUAAUUCUUAGAAUUUAUUUUCAUUGUUAAAAAAAAAUUGAAAAAAAAUGAAAAAAUGCUACAAUACCCCCUGGAAUUUCAAUUCUCACCAUAUUGGUGAGAAUUGAAAUUCCAUGAAAAGCUGGAAAAGUGCUCCUUCCUGAGAAAAUGAAGAAAAUGAUUUCCUUGGAAUAAAAACACUAUCAAACAGCCCUAAACAUGGGAAAUGGAAAAGAUUUUCCAUUUUCCAUGGAAAAUUUGCCCCAAUCAAACUGGGCAUUAGAGAUUUCACUUCAUUGCAGGGGUUUUUCAAGUGUUUGCUUCGAUAAGCAUGCUUAUUAGACUCGAUUCAAAUAGUGAUGUACUAGGUUAUCAAAUUGCUGAUUGAACCGACGGGUCAACGAUUCGGUAGUUUAUUAUUUGAAAUUGGUUUAACUUUUUAAAAGUAUAAAAAUCAUCUUUGAGACAAAAUUAAAAAUUUAAGUUAUUUCUCACUAAUUAUUUGUUAUCUUUAAAUUACAAAUUUUUGAACUUAUUAAUUUGUGAUAAUAAUUACAUUUUUGAUUUUAUAAAUUUGUAUAUUAUAUUUAUAAAAAAUUAGAUUAUUCCCAUUUUUGUUAUGUAGAAAUCAUUUAUUAGUUAUCGAUAAAAAAAAAAAUUUAUGUGUCACUGAUGUUUUUGAGCCCCAUUAUUCCAAAUUUUUGCCAAUUUCAUUUUCUUCAUUGGGAAAACACUGGACGUUCAGGAGCCUGUUUGGCACCCCCUAUUUGGGGCCACAUUGAAUGAAUUGUGGGUAAUUUCCACACGAACACCAUUCAUGAUUCACUCUUGGAGAGUUGUAGCAGGUACCCAAAUCUGAUUUCCAAGUUUACCCUUCAAAUAAACGUUGGGAGGUCAUGUAGAAGUUAAGGAAUAGCGGGUUGUUUUUGGAAAUUAGUUUCCCAAAGUUAGGAUGUUUUCGACCUUUUGAAUUUCACCGUUUUUUGCAACAAUUUUAACAAUUAAAUUACUGUUUAAAAAAUUAGAAAGCCGGCAAAAAGUGGGAAUAAAGAGGCUAAACACAUGGGAGGAGCCGAUCUCUUACCACAAAAGCGAAUCUUCGUAAAAAAAUAAUUGUCAUCUGAUAAUAUUAUAAUGGAGUAAAAAUGUUGGACUAUAAUUUUUUUCCCCCUCAAAAUCUUGUUUAAGAACAGUAAAUCAAAAUCUUGUUUAAGAACAGUAAAUGAUUCAUAUUAGAUAUAGCUUGUUACGUAAAAAUGUUAACAAUUUGUUGUAUCUUCUAGUGAUGACAUUGUCGGUCUUAAUCCCUAAGGGAUCCUUGGACCCUAAUGUUUCAAAAUGUAUUUUUUUUUUUUAAACAUGAUUAAUUGGGUCGACGACUCUAUGAAAUAUUGUUGAUUGGCCUAGUCAAAGUCAAUUACACCUUGCUCACAUAAUUAGGAUGGCCUGGUCAAGGGCUAGGCAGCUAGGGUAGUCGAGCUUUUUGUCUGAUUGAGCAGAUUGGGUCGAGGUUAAUAACACUAGUUAACCUCUAGUUGCAUUACUAUAGAAGGUAUGGUUAAUAAUUUAUUAGAGUUUGAAUUAACGUCAAGUAAAUUUAUUUAUUUUUUAAACACAAAUGAGUAUUUAAUCUAGAGUUAUUUUUAAAAUGAAUUCUAAUUCUCAUACAUAAUUUUGUCUCUUAAUUUUCUUAGAAUUGAAUACUCAAUGUUGCAUGGUUUCCAUUUAAAAAUUUAUUUAACACCUAAACCUCUCAACAUUAAUAAGACCAUUUUUGAGCCCCACUUUUCUUUAAGAAUGCAUUUUGGAAUGGUAAAUUGAUGAAGAAUGUUUGAUUAAAAAAAAGAAAAUUUUUGAAUUUGCGCAUAAUAUUUUUUUUAUUAAAAAUGUGUGGUUGAUAAGAAAUGAGAAUCAAAUGUAUUUUGAAAAAAAAAGGACCAAACAAGGGCUAAAUAAUAAAUUUGAACUUUGACUAAGUCAAAAUUUAUUCCAAAAAGAGAAAUGCCCAACAAUCGAGAUGAAAUAAUUCUACUUGUAUAUAAGGAAUUAUAGAAGGUUUUAUAGAUAAAUAAUGUGUCAAGAGGAGAGUGGAGAAUUUUUUUAUUUACUUUUUUUUUUAAAGAAAUUCUAAUCCAAUCAUAUCUCACUAUAUCAUAUUUAUGUAAACCACUUACAAAAUCUGUAAGUAGGGCUGGGCAAAUCUCCCUAACCGAACCGACCGAACCGAACCCGAACCGAACCGAACCGAACCCGACGGUUCUUGUCAAAUUAAAUACCCGAACGGGUAUCUGAAUUGAGAACCGACGGGUACGGUUCGGUUCUCGGUUCUAGACCAAGAACCGAAGAACCGAAUAAGAACCGAAUCUUUCUAAUUUUUUUUAUAUUGAAUAAAUCAAAUUAUUUUAAUUUUAAUUUUUUCUAAACAAAUUAACAAAUUAACAAUUUCUAAAUUCAAAUUUUUGGCCCAAUAAUUUGUUUCAUUUCUAAUUUUUUUAUUUUUGGUCCAAUUACCCAUUUUAUUGUCUUAUUUUUUAGCCCAACAAGAUCCAACCCACUAAAUAACCCUAAACACCUACACUAAAGUGCAUAACGCUGUCUCGACUCUCGCAGCCUCGCUGACAAUCCAAAACCUAUACAAUCGUCGACCGACGCUGUGACCUCUGAUCGAAACAGUUACCUCCACCAACCGAAAUUUUGACCGUAGCGAUCAUUUGAAUAAGGUAGUCUACUAGUCUCUGACAUUUCAAAACCAUUGAACGUGACAUUAGUUAUAUUUAUAUAAUGUUGUAAUAAAUGUGAAAAAAUUUAAUUAUAGUACAGAACCGAACGGAACCGAACCGAUCCGAACCGAACCGAACGGAACCGAACCCGAACGGUUCCAUAAUUAUAUUUGGACCCGACGGUUCCAUUUACUAAAUACCCGAAAAUUUUGGUUCGGUUCGGUUCGAUUCUCUUUAGAACCGAACCGAACCGACCCGCGCCCACCCCUAUCUGUAAGUGGUGAUGCAGAAGGUUUUUUUCCCCCCCAAAAAAGUGUAAUGUUUUAAACCAACUAGGUAUGUGUAUACAAUUGAUAUAUAAUUCAUCUAAAAUUGAAAUUGGAAGGCUUGGUUGGCAACAUAUUCACCUAAAUGUAAUCAUGUCAUGCAAAACAGGGAAAUACAUGGAAAUGAUCUAAACAAAGAGGUCAUUUUUCCAAAAUAACAUUUGACUAAUUUAGAUGCCUAAAAUACCACUCCUUUUGAAUAUUGCAUAACAAGUUAAUAUAAUAUAGAAAUCUUCCAUUUUAGUCCUUAAAAUUAAACAUUGCUUGAAUUUUAAUAGAUUUAUUGUUACUACAAAUUUAUUUGAUUUUUGUUCACUCAAAGUAGCAUCCCCUAAUUGGUAUCAAAAUCAUGAACUAUGAGAAAAUCCAUAACAAAUAAAUUACCUAAAAAGGUAAAAAUCUUUAGAUAUAUAUUAACACUUAGAUUUUAUUUAAAUUUAAUAAAUGAAAGAUUAAGUGUUAGACAUUUAAAAGAAUAUUUAGAUUGCACAUCUUUAAAAGAGCCAUAGAGAUGAUGGAAAUUAAAAUAAGAAAAAUAGAAAAUUAUUAUAAAUUAGAAGAAGGAAGAGGAAGUUAUAUAUUUUUAAAACCUAUUUCUAAUAAAUUAAAAAUAAUGGCAUUAACAAUAGUUAAAGAAUUACCCCAAAAAAUAAAAAAAUAAAUAUUUGAAAAAAUAAUAAUAUGAUUGAUAAAAGAAAAAUAUAUAUAUAUAUAUAUANNNNNNNNNNNNNNNNNNNNNNNNNNNNNNNNNNNNNNNNNNNNNNNNNNNNNNNNNNNNNNNNNNNNNNNNNNNNNNNNNNNNNNNNNNNNNNNNNNNNNNNNNNNNNNNNNNNNNNNNNNNNNNNNNNNNNNNNNNNNNNNNNNNUAUAUAUAUGUGUGUGUGUGUGUGUGUGUGUGUGUGUGUGUGUGUGUGUGUGUGUGUGUGUGUGUGUGUGUGUGUGUGUGAAAAAAUUAUUAAAGAAUAUGAAGAUGAAGAGAUUAAUUUAUAUUCUAAAGAGAAGUAAGAGCGUAAACAAUAAUAGAGAUUUAAAAUUGAAUAGGUUACUUAUAAAAAUGGAAAAAAUACAAGAUAUAAUGUUAAUACCAGAAGAAAUAAAAGUAUCAAAUAAAAGAUAAUUAAUAAAAUUAAAAUGUGAAAGAUUAAGACUUGAGAGUAAAUAUUUUAACAUACUAAAAGAAGAAUUGUUAAAUACAGAUAUAGCGAAGAUUUGGAAUAAUAAUAGAUAAAAAAGAUAAAUAAAAGAUAUAAAUUGACUUAUAUGUUAGAAAGAUGACCAGAAAAUUUUAAUAUGUCAAUAAGUGAAUAUAUGGAAGAAUUAAAGUCAUUAAUAAAAAUAUUAAUAAAUGAUGUACAAGAUUUAAAAAAUGAAGUAAAAGAAAUAAGAAAUGAUAUAAAUAUAUUAAAAAUUGAAAUUAGAGAAAUAAAAGAAAAUAAUAAAAAUAAAGGAAAGAAAAUAGAUAAAAAAUUAAUAGAAAAAGAAAUGAUUCGAAAAGGAAAGAAACACAUUGAGAAAGAAAAUAUAGUAAUAAAAACAGGAAGUAUGGAUGAUGAAUUUAGAAAGAAUAAAUUAUCUAAAAUAUUAGAAGAAGAAGAAGGAUCUAGAGAAAAAAUAUUAGGAAAAUUAAAAAUAGAAGAAAAUCAAGAAAAUAAAGAUGAAUGAGGAAUUAAAGUUACUUAUAGAAAAUUUUGAUUAAUUAAAUUUAAGUGAUAUAAAUUAAUACCAAGUUUUAAUGAAUACUGAAGGAUAACCAAAUCUGAUAGGAACCUCUAAACAAUACUUAAAGGAAUCUAAUUAAAGUUAUACACCUAUAUAUAACAAAUCAUAUAGACAAUUUUAUGAUAAAGUAAGAGAUAGACAACCAUCUAAAGGAAAUAAAUAUAGAGAUAGAUUUGAUUUAAAUGAUAAUUAUGAUAAACCUAUUAACCAUAGAGGAACUAAAAUAGAUUUAAAUUGUAAAAUAGAUACUAAAAAAGCCUUAUUAACUUGAGCAAAUUCAAUGAUAUUAUUCUUUUUUAUAUAAUAAAGAUGACACAUGGGAAAAUACUGAAGGAAUGAUAGAUUUUUUAAUAGCAUCCUUUGAAGGAGAUGUUAGAAAUUGAUUGGAAAGAAUAAGUAAUGAUACAAAGACAUUAAUAAAAAUAAAUGUACAAACAAAAACAAUAAAAUCAGAUAGAUAAUGUAUAUAAAAAUUAGUAGAAUAUAUUUCUGAUGAAUUUUUAGGAGAAAAUUGGAUAAGAAAUGUUGAAAGAGAAGCAAUAAAGGAAAAAGAUAAUGCUAGGAUUAAAUUAAUAAAUUUAACAAUAUGUGAUAUAUGUAAAAUUAAAUAAUAUACUUGUGAAUUUAUAAAUUAUUAUUAUGUUCAAUUUUAUAGUAAUGAAAACCAAGAAGUAUACCAAGAUAUGUACUAUAAUAAAUUACCAGGUUCAUGGGGAAAAUAUUUUAAAAUAGAAUUUGAAAAAUAUGUUAGAGAUAAUGUUGUAAUACCUGGAACUUUAGGUUCAAGAAUAAAAUUUUUAUUUGAAAGACUUGCAUAUAUAUGUCAACAAAGACAAUUAUUGAAAAAAUUAAGAAAAUUAACUAGAUUAUGUUGUGAAAAUCUGAAAAAUCCUAUACAAUGGGGAUGCAAUCCUGAAAGAAGGGUUAACAAAAGAAAAUAUAAAAAUAAAAAGUUUAACAAAUUUAGAAAUUUUAAUAAAAAAAUAUAUAAAACUUAGAAAAAGAUAUUACAAAAGAAAAAAAUAUCUCAUAUGGUGAACAGAAAAAUAACAAUUAUAAGAAAAAUAAAAGCCAGUGUAAAUGUUGGAAUUAUGGGGAAAUAUGUCACAUAGGUCCUGAUUGUAAUAAAAAAAAAGUUAAAAUAUUACAAAGAGAAUAUUUAGAAAUAAAAGAUGAAUUAAGUGAAAUAUCAGAUAUUGAACAAUAUUAUAAUUAAGAAGUACAUAUAAAUGAAACAUAGAGUGGUGAAUCAGGAUCUGAAUAAAGAAAUAGAGGAAAUAGAAAAUAAUAAUAUAAGUAUACAAGAAUAUAAAGGAAUAUAAGAUUAUGGAUUAAAAGUCACUUUUGAUAAUAAUAAAUUUAGGAAAACGCAAAAAUUAUCUUUGGAUUUAAAAAUAGGAAAAUUGGAAGUAUUAGAUAGAAUUUGAAAAAAAAAGAAAGGAUAACAAUAAAUGAAUAUCAUAAAAUUGAAAAAACUGUAGAUGUAAGAACAACUUAUGGAAAUCAUAAAUUAAAUCAUUUAACAAAAAAUACGGUUGAUGAACUAUUAAUGAAGGUUAAUAAAAAACAAAGUGAAAAAAAUCCAAUAUGUUUAUUUAGAAGGAAUACAAAUAAUGUUUAAAUCAUUAUUCAGAUGAGGGAUAGACUCAUCAUUAACUAUAACCUUAUAUGAUGGAAAAAUAGUAAAUUUAAAAGAUAGUCAUUUAGGAACAAUAAAAGAAAAUUUAGCAUAUCAAAAAAUAAUGUUUACAUACUACCCAAAAUAUUGUGUAUCAUUGAAAGAUAAAAAUUUUAGUGAAGUUUUAAGAUUGUAUUUUAAGCUACAUAAAGAUGAUAUAAUGCAACCAAGUGAUCAAAUUAUGAUUAUAGAAUAUCGAGCAGGUUUAUUUUUUAUUAUGGAAAUAUUUAUUCCAAUAAAUCAUAUAUUGAAGUACAUAAAGAAUGUAAGGAUAUUAGUAAAAUAAUUGAACCAAAUAAAUAAAUAAACUAGAUUACCAGAAGAAUAUGAAUUUAGUAUAAUAAAAAAUAAACCUGAAAUAAUAUAAUUAAAUGAAGAAGAAUGUUAUAAUAAUAUAACAUUUAAAGAUGAAAAAUUGGUCAAAAGGUCAAAAAGUCUUAAAAUACCUAAUAAAAAUAAGUUAGAAGAGUUUAGUAAUAUAAAAGGGAUAAAAUUUUACAGAAGUGCUGGAAAUAUGAAAAUAGGAGGAGAAUAUUUUAAUGGAAGAGAAUAUAUAAAUGGACCAAAUAUAUUAAUAGAUAUAGGAGUUAGUGAAUGUCAUAUAACUUCAAUUAGAAAUAAAGGAUUAUUAACUCAUAAAACUGAAUCAUAUAGGUAUGUAAAUUUUGAUGGGCAAAUACUUAUUACAGAUUUAGAAGUUAAAUACCCAUAAAAAUAGAAGGAAUAAAUCUUUUAGUACCAUGUUAUAUAGAUAAAAAUAUGAAUAUAAACCCUCGUAUAUUUUUAGGAAUGAGUUUUUUAAAUAGAUUAGAAGAUUAUAUUAUAAAAAGAGAAGGAUUAUACAUAUUACAUAGUGGACAAAUUAUAUUAUGCAAAAAGAAUUAAAUGAAUAAUCAGAUAAGUUUUUCAUUAGCUGUAUAUAUAUAAGUUACUAUUGUAGAAACAAACAUAACAACUUGUGCUUUAAUAGACACAGGAAUUGAAAUAACAAUAGUUAAAAGUUUUCUAAUAAAAUAAUGGAAUAAUAAUAGUAAUAUAAAAAUAACUGGAGUUAUCGAAGAAAGUACCCGGAUAAUAAAUAGUGCUGAUAAAGUUAAUUUAAUUUUUGGAAGUAAACAAGUUACAAUAAAUAAAGUAUAUAAAUAUGAUAAAUUAGAAUGUAAUAUAUUAUUAGGAAAUGACUUUAUAUAACAAUUUCAAUAUUAUAAACAAAAUAAUUAUAUGAUAAUGUUAUAAACACCUUGCUCACACUAUUUAAAAAUUCCAAGAGAAUUUAAACCUUAUAGAAUUCAACCAGCCCAACGUGGUGAUAAAUGAGAGAAAAAUCAAUCAUGUUUAAUGAAAUAAAAAAUAAGAGAAUAUUAUAUAAAAAAGUUUUAAAAACGGGAAUAGAAAUAAGUAUAGAAAAAUUAUUGAACAUUUAGAAAAAGUUUAUGGAGAAAAUUCAUUACUAUUUUGGAAACCACAUCAUCCUAAAUCCAAAAUAGAAUUAACGAAAAAUGUUAUAAUAAGAGUCAGACCAAUUAUGUAUACUAUAGAAGAUACACAAUAAUUUAAAAAUCAGAUAAAAGAAUUAUUAGAACAAAAACUUAUUAGACCUAGCAAUAGACCUCAUAGUAGUCCAGCUUUUAUGGUUAUGAAAUAUUCUGAACAAAUUAGAGGAAAAGUUAGAAUGGUUAUAAAUUAUAAAGAAAUAAAUAAAUAUAUUAAAUUUGAUGGAUUUUUUUACCAAAUAAAUUUUUUUUAAUAAACCUUGCAGAAGGAAAACAAUAUUAUUCUAAAUUUGACUGUAAAUCAGAAUCUUGGCAAAUAAAAAUGGAAGAAUAUAGUAGACAAUAUACUGCAUUUAGCACACAUCAAGGAAACUAUGAAUAGUUAGUAAUGCAAUUUGGAUUAAAAAAUGCACCACAAAUAUAUUAAAGGAAAAUGGAUAAUAUAUUCAAAAAGUUUAAUGAAUUUCUAAUUAUUUAUAUAGACGAUAUAUUAAUAUGUUCUAGUAGCAAAAAAAAUAUAGAAAUCAUUUAAUCCAAUACAUAAAUGAAUGUAAAAAAGAAGGAAUUGUACUUUCUAAAAAGAAAUCUAUAAUAGAAAAAUAAGAAAUAGACUUUCUUGGAUUAUCAAUAGAUAAAAGAGGGAUAAAAUUACAGAUCCAUAUAUCUAAAAGGAUAGAAAAUUUUUCAGAUGAAUUAGAAUCUAAGAAACAAAUAUAAAAAAUUUUAGGAUGUUUAAAUUAUGCAUAAAGAUUUAUUGAAAAUCUUUCUAAAAAAAGGAAUAAAAUACAAAUUUUACUUAGAAAAACAAAUACCAAAGGAUGAAAUGAGGAACACACGGAAAUAGUUAAAUCUUUAAAAGAAAAAUGUAAAAAUUUACCAAAAUUAAGAUUACCAGAUGAAAAAGAUAAUUUGAUUGAUAAUACUGAUACCUCAGAUAAAUAUUGGGCAGCAAUAUUAAAAACAGAUUUAAAUAAUAUUUAUAGAUAUUCAAGUGGAACUUAUAAUCAAACAGAAAUAAAUUAUACCACUCAUGAAAAAGAAUUACUAGCAAUUAUUAGAGGAAUAAAAUUUUUUUCACUAUUCUUGUUAUCCAAGAAAUUUAUUGUUAAAACUGAUAAUUCUCAAGUUAUCAGGAAUAAACUACCAUCAGAACCUGAAUACAGAAGGCUCCAUAGAUGACAAGCUUAUCUAGCAUUUUAUAAUUUUGAUAUAGCUCAUAUUAAAGGAGUAAAUAAUUUUCUUGCAUAUUUUCUCAGCAAAAAUAUAGAAUUUGCUGAUGGAUAAAGCUAGGGUCAUGGAUUUAUACCAAUCUAUCCUACCUAUACAAAAAAGGACAAAUUUUCUUAAAGAAGAAUCUAAAGACAUAAAUACUGGAGCAACAUAGAUCUCAAAGAUGUUCAACUCAAAUAUAAAAAUAUUGUUGAAUAUCACUAUUGAGCAUCAUAAAGAGGCCAUAGAACUCAAAAAUUAAGUUGAUGCUAUUGCAGCACAACUAAAAGAUAUACUAUUUGAUAUAGAUAUAUCAAAGAGCUCAAAUAUGAGUUUUCUAAUUCAAUAACAAACAGGAACAGUUGGAAGCAGCAGUGGACCCAGCGUGACAGCAUACCAAUUGAUAAAAAAAGAGAUUCCAUUUCUGUAUCAUGAACCAAAAAAGUAAUGAUACAUGGAGAUAAAAGAGAUUCCAAAAUUAUCAGUAUCAUAGACCAAGAUGAUACAAUCCCUUUAGCUCCAAAAGAAGAAGAGUAUGCCAAAAUAGUCAGAAUUGCUUAUGAAAUAAAAAUAAGUGAUUCAUAUUUUAUCUCUCCGGGAAAUAAUGUUUAUCCCGGAAUAACAUCAAUGGAAGGAGGAGAUCCUUCAUUUGUAAAGAUUAUGACAAACUAUGGAUCUAUGGAUUUGAUAUGUCUAGGAAAUGAUCUGAUUGAAAUUUCAAAAUUUGAUGACAUAUUCAUAAAAGAGGUAUCCAGCUUUGCCAAGGGACGAAGAAUAUAUUUGAAAUUAUAUUCAAUUAGUCCUUAAUAUGAUGUAGUUGUUUAUUAUCCAAUUAAACACAUAAUCUUAAUUGGAUAUGUUGCAGCCAAUUUCCAAAUAGACGUUAUAGAGAAUGAUAGAAAAGUUUCAAAAGUGACAAAAUCGUGGAUCAGAUAUAGAAGAGCACUUUGAAUUAAAGCCAAUACAAUAUCGUUAAAAAUUUGUUUGAUAAAAAAUUCUCAUACUUGUGUCAAUAUGAAAACUGGAUGCUGCUAUCAAAUGGAAGACAUGGAAAAUCAGAAAUCUUGAAAGACUACAUUACAAGAUUCGAAAUACAUCAAUUUUCAGGAUGUCCUACCACUAUACAAGAAUUAUGCCAGCUCAAGGAGUGCCCCAACUACAUGUGAAGACAUAAAAGAUAGAUGUCAAUAAUAGAGAAAGAUGCUUUUUGGAUAAAAAGUUGAAAAAGCAUGUGGAGACAUAGAAAAAAGAGGACAAUGAUAGAAAUUUCUUUAAUAAAAAUCGGAUGUUGCAUGUGAAGAUGUAGGUCCAAGGAGGACAAUAAUAGAAAGGCAAGUAUGCCUUUGCUGAUGUACUGAAUGAUAUAAUAGAUCAAUAAUAGAGUCUCAUGUAUUUCUAUAAAUAGAGACAUUAUAAUAGAGAAAAAUCAACUUGAAAUCAAAGUAUCUUCUCUCAAAUUGUAAGCUCGAUUUGUAGUGGAGAAUCAACAUUUCCAAAACUAGUUUUUCUGGAAAUCCAUUUGUACCAAAUAGAAGUCUUGUAUAAAUUCUGAUAGAAAUAAAAUUUCAAUAUUUUGAUAUCAAUAUGAGUUUCUAAAUCUUUAUUCCCAUAGAUUCUUGAAAGAUCUAAUAGAAUGUUUCAUUCUUAUUUUAGCAAAAAGAAAGCUUUUCUUUAACAGAAGUCUAGAAUUUUAUUCUUUAGAGUUGAUACAGUGAGAGCAAGAAACUGAAAUAGUAAAGAUUCCGUGAAGGCAGGAGGCCGUUGAAGGAAUUAGUUUACAUAUUCAGAGCUUAAAGGUCACUCAAUUCUAAGAAUAAAGAUUUAGAUCAAACCUAAGGUAAAACUAUUAAAUUUUUUGCUAAAAUUAGAAUGAAUCUUUCUAGAUCUUAGAGAAUCAAAGGGAUAAAUUGCAUGAUUUGAUGAUUAUUUUUAUGAUUAAAUGCAAGAAUAUACAAUUAAAGAAUUAGAUAAUUUAUUAGAAAUAAUGUUAGAAGAAAUAAAAAAUAUUUAUUCUCAAUUAGAAAAUAUGGAUGCAUCUUAUAUUAAAUAAUAAAUGUGAACAAUAUGUUGUAGAUUAUUCCAAUUUAUUAAUUCAUAGAAUGAAAUUAUAUUCAAAAAUUCAAAAUAAAAUAUAGUUUAAAAAGAUUGGGAUAUAUGUUGCAAUAUAGAAAGACUCAUUUCAUUAAGAGCAAUAUAGACUUUUCCAUGAAAAGGAAUAGUAAUAGGCCAAAUAGAAAAAUCCCCAUGCAAAGCAACAUCAUCAAAUUAUACACAACUAUUGAUAUAUGAAUUGACAUACUUUGUUCAUUAAUUUAUUGAGGAAUAGUCAUUAUAUUAAGAGAUGCUUAUUUAAAAAGAUGGAUGAUUAUCAACAUCACCAGAAUACUAAAAGGGACAACUGAUUCGUGCCAAUUUAACUAAAUACACAUUUUAAGCUCAAACUCAAUACAUUUUCAUGUUUUUAUAUUUUAUUACUUAGUUAAAAACAUGUUAUAUUUAUCUACGACAGAGAAAAAUAAAUUUCCAUCACAAAGCUCGCCUUUGCUAGCUUUCUUUUUAAAGACAUGUCUAGAGCGCCUAGCACAACAUGGACAUGCCAUAUGUCCUCAGUUGUGGAGCUAGGAUUUUGAUGUUGAAAGGUAAAAAGUUUAGAAGACAAAAUUUGCAUAUGUAUUAAAAUAAUUUCAAAUUUUCUACUCAUUAUCAAAAAUAUUAAAUGUUGCUGGAUCGAUCGCCACCCCUACCCCCUAGCUUUGCCCUUGCAUGUCUCCGUAGUCGGGCAUGGCACAACUUGACUAUUGGAAGCGAGCUGACCAAUCACUUAUGUUAGUCAUGUCGAAAUGGAUUUUUAGUCCAAAUGUAAACAAUUCGGUAUAGUUUGACACCUAAUAAUAUUAAUCAUAGAAUUAGAAUUAAUUUAAUCAUGAAAUAUUAAUUUAUAUAAACAAAAAUGAUAUCAAACAUUAUUUCUAAACGUCUUAUAUUAGCCUAUUUACAUCUUACACUUCCACAGUUCAAUCAUUAGAAGGAGUGAAUUUCAUAUUAACUCUCAAGUGUUGCGCCUACUCAUUUUACAGCUCCAAUAUUCAAUCAGUAGAUCAGGUAAUUUCAUACAAACUCUUUGGCCUAUGUGUUGAUUACGCACAAAGUAUAACGCGGUGAUUGUAGUAUAGUUUUGGGGUGUCGUAUCCAUAGGGAGAUGGAAAGUUACUUAAAGGGUCCAACAAUUAGGGUUUUUGUCGUAGUUUGUGUAAAUGAUUUAUCAGUUUUAAUGAAAUAUAAGUAAGUAUCAAUGUAUGAAAACUAGUGAAGCACCGGAAUUCACUUGCUCAAUUUGGUUCAAACAAUUCAUGCAUAUUACUCAAAAAUCUAGACUUCAUAUAAUGCGUUCCCACAUUUAUUCAUCGAAACAAAAUUAAGAAGCGUCCAUAUACAUUAGGCAUAAGGAAGUAAAUAAUCCACCAAUGACAUAAUUGAAAUUGAAGUUCAAUAAAUAUUUCAAUAAAACGAUAGAAAGAGCAUGACUAAUUCUAUGAAAAAUCUAAUAGGAAUUAAACCAAUUUCAAAAAUAAUUCAUGAGGAGAAACCUAGAUAAAUUGAGGUUCACUUGUAAUUCUAGAACUUAAAUUUCUUAAAAACACAUUCCGUUUAUACUUAUUGAAACAAGGUUCGAAGAGCGACAAUAUACCUCAAGCAUAAAGUAGUAAUCGAAUCACGUCAAUAAAUCAAUUGAAAUUUAAACUCAACAAGUAUUUUAAUUAUUCAAUGGAAAAGACAUGAUCGAAUCCAUGAAACAUUCAAUAAAAGUUAAGCAAAUAUCAAAAAUACAAUGAACAAUUGAAAUCUUAAUCCCAGAAUAUUUUUCAAAAUAUAAAUCACAUUACAUGCAUAAGAGAAUGUUGAAAUCCCCAAAUUCGAGCAAGAUCCUUCAUGGCUUCACCAAUAGGUUUAGUUCUCCAUGGAAUUCUUGAGCCAAAAACCAAAGAAAAGUGAUAGGAGGUGAAUGGUCCCCGUUCUGGUCGAGAUUAGGGCUUAAAAGUCGUGUGGAAACUUGUUACCAUAAGUGUUUGAGUCGAUUAAGGAAACAGAAUUUUCGGUCUCGAAGAAUAACCAUGCGGCCGCAUGGUUAUAAGCCUUGCGGUCGCAUGGUUCAAGCCAUUUGGGUCCUUGAAUACUCGGGAGGCAUCCGUGCGGCCACACCAUGCGACCGCAUGGUUCAACCCUUUUUUUUCGCCGGACAGCUUUUAGUAUUUUGGCCAUAACUUUCUCUCCCGAUAUCCGAUUGAGGUGAUUCAAGUUUCAUUGGAUAGCUAACUUAAAGAGAUACAAUUUUAUUUAGAACUCAUCUUCCAAUUCGAUCAUCUUCCAUGUCAAAAAUAGGUUCCAACAUGAGACUGAAAAUCGGUGCGUAACAUUUUCGAUUGGGAAUUGAUGUAUGAUCAAACUUUGAUGUUAUUUCAUCCCUUUGACUUCUUUGCUCAUCCACUUGACCUCUAAAACUUUUGAAUCUUCAUCAUAAUCUUAGACACAAGUUUGGAGUAUUUGUACUUUAUUCCCCGAACUUUCGUUCUCUUCUACUUUGGUCAUUUUUCACUUGUUUCUUCCGAAUUUUUUUUUUUUUUUUUUAUCAAAAUGCAACCUGAAUCAAAAUGUAAGAAUAAUGAGUGCAUUUUGGUAUCAAACAAUCACACAAAUGCAUAAAUAAGAGGGAAAACUUAUGAUAUUUUGCACUCUUAUCACACCCCAACUUGCUUAUUACUAGUACCUAGUAAUUCAAUGCAAAGCAAAGCAAAUGAGUGAUUGGUCCAUGUUACAAGCGAAAUUGUUAAGUUCUAAUUCAAUCGUAGUUCAUUCUCUUUUCAAACUCAACACCAAAAAAAAUUAACAAUGUUAUAAUCGUCAAGAUAUCAAAAACACUUGCUAAAUGUGUGAGUGUGUAUCAAGCCAUAGCCAUCUUACCGCCAACCCUAACACAUGCAACAUCGAGUGUGUCUCGAGUUGAAGGUUCAGCUCCACAACUCACGAGUAUCAAAGUAUUUAGUUUGGUUUUCUCUCUAUGGAGCUGAGAAAAGAUAUACACUCAUAAUUUGGAGACUUAAAUAGUUUUGAACAAGCAAUAAGUAAACAUUGAUAACAUGAUAGGCAUACUUUCAAAUGAGAAAUCAUCAACAACUUACCACAAACCGACUUGCGAUCAAAACAGUCAAUGCAAAGGUCUGAAAGGAGUAAAGUUGGGUUAUAUGAAAAGUAGGGUAAAAAGAAUUUAAGGACUUCCAAAUAUCUAGCUAGGCAUCUUAACAAGUAUUUCAACAUAGCAAUCCUUUACAUCAACGCAUUCCUCAACCUUUCAAUUCCCAACAAUAGUCCACUUCUCUCUUUCUCUCUUUUUUUCUUUUUUUCAAUUUUUUUUUCUUUUUUUUCAUUUUCUUUUCUUUUGUUUUGUUUUUUUUUUGUUUUUGUUUUUGUACACAUACUAACUCUUGUCAUUUUCUUGCCUUUGCUCUUCACAAAUAAACAUUUAAUACCUACUAUACAAUUGGAAGUAAAAAGAUGGAAAAACACGUGUAUAGGCUACUUUCCAAGUAUGGAGAAGUAUGUAUAACAUGGGUGUAUGAAGAAAAGACUAUAUGUGUGUAUAGCUCAAAGUGGCUAUUAGGGAUUGUGAUUAUUGAAAAGUGGCGGUUUGAAAGGCUUAAAUGUUGAUCCUAUAUUGACUUUCAUCAUUUUCCAAGUAAUCAACCAUCAUACCACAAACCAUGUAAUGUUAUUCUCAAAAAAAGUUCCAAUUCAUAAAACCAAUGAGAGCUUAUUGCCAUUUUUAACAUGUGGUAGCUCUCAAUCCUCACCAACUCUCACAUGAAAACUUCAUCAAGAGAUCCCUCUAGCUAUAUGUGUUAAACCACUAUCUUACCACAAGGCUUGUGUGCACAAAAGAGAUUUUAGCAAGUGUCUCAACAUCUAGACUCUCAAUAACAACGUUAACUCCUAAUGGCAUAUAUUGUCAUUCAAAAGCAUGAACACGUAGCAAUUUAGGGAUUUAAAAAAAAAAUUAGACCAAGAUUUCACGAAGAAAGUAUGCAAUUCACAAUAAAAUCAAGUUAAACUCUAAUAAAAUCAAGUUGAACUCUCUCCCUAACUAAACAUUGCAUUGUCCUCAAUGCAACAAACAUGUCCACCAAAUCAAGGUAAGGAAAGAUGUCACCUGAAUACUGAAGUAAAUCAUAUAAACUUGAAAUAUAAGAAGCCUGAAAGUUCUCAAUUGGUGAUAAAUGCAUGGAAUGAAAACAAACCUAAAAAUGCAAAAAUAAAAAUAAAAAGAAACAGAAAGGAAUGAACUUCCCUUGGGUUGCCUCCCAAGCAGCGCCUUUGUUUAUUGUCGUCGGCUCGACCCAAUGUUUGUUUCUUUAGCCCGCAUCCAGUCAGGGCGUUAUCAACCUUCGUUGCAUUUCACCAAACUCAUUGGAAGUAGUCAUCGAUGGUGUCCCAUAAUCCUGAAAAUCAUCAAAAGCAGUACAAAUGUCAGCAUAUUCCCCAUUAUCAUACCUUGCAGGAAUUUCAGAAUUUAAAGGGCUGGGAUCAAUAAGCGCAAGUGCUUUCUCCUCAGCGAGUGCAUCAACCAUGUAUGGUUGAUGACAUUCAUCAUCUUCCUCAGGCUGUUUCAUGAUGUGAAAAAUAUUGACAUCUAAGGUCAUGUUUCCAAAUGAUAGUUUCAUUAGACCGUUCCUGCAAUUAAUAAGAGCAUUAGCCGUGGCAAGAAAAGGUCUACCUAGAAUAAUGGAAAUCUUGAAGUUAACAUUCACAUCUUCUUUUAAAUCCAAAACCAAGAAAUCAACGGGGUAGCAAAAUUUGUCAACAUGUACCAACACAUCCUUAACUACUCCCUAGGCCUAAUAGUGGACCGAUCAGCUAAUUGUAAGACCACAUAAGUAGGUUUGAUCUCACCUAGACCUAACGCUAAGUAUAUAGCAUAAGGCAUGAUAUUGACACUAGCCCCUAAAUCGAGGAGAGCUUGUGCAAACUCAUGGUUCCCUAUGACACAAGAAAAAGUAGGACAACCGAGGUCCUUAUACUUUGGCGGGACUUUUUGUUCAAUUACGGCACUCACAUGUUCAGUCAAAAAGACAAUUUUCUUGACAUGGUGCUUCCUUUUUACAGUACACAAGUCCUUUAGGACUUUAGCAUAUGUGGAGACCUAUGAAAUCACGUGCAAGAGAGGUAGAUUGACUUUUACUUGCUUGAGGUGCUCUAGGAUUUCACUGUAUUGACUAGAAGAUUUCGAGGUCGACUUGAGAGCUUGAGGAAAGGGCACUCUAAAUGGAUUUUUAACUAUCUCCUCACUAGGGGUACUCUUUUCUAUGUUAUCGGGAUCUUUCUCACUUUCCCUAGGUUUGGGUGUUGCUUCUAUGACCUUACCGGACCGAGUGGUUAUGGCAUUAACUUCCUUAAGGUUGUUUUCUCUGAAGCUCGAGAUUUGUGCCAUAUGUUGUCCCUUUGGAUUUGGUUGAGCUUGAGCUGGAACUUCCCACGUUCCACUACAGCUAAGGCGUUGGUUAAUUUAGACAUAUGACUUUUAAUUUCUUUGUUUUCCUCAAUUAUUUGGGUAAUCAUAGUCUCAAACUUCUGAUUGGUUUUACUUUGUGCCUCUAUGAAUGCCUGUAGGGUGUCUUCCAAAGAGUUCCUAGAGGAUGUGGUUUGAUAUGGAGGUGUAGUGUAGGCUCUAUUGGAUUGGGCAGGUUGCUGGUUUUCAGAUUUUCAGCUGAGAUUGGGAUGAUUUCGCCACCCUGGAAUAUAGGAUUCGGCGUAGGAAGAGUGUUUCUCAUAAAUUCCCCUCAUCUCAGCAUAAGUGGCACACUCUUUUGCUAGAUGAUCACUCCCUCCACACACAAAACAAAACCCAUCAGACUCAACACGGGAAAUAACAUGUGUAGGUUUUGAAUCCUUAGCGCGUAGGGCUUCUAAUUCUCUAGUGAGGCUUUCUACCUUGACUCUAAGGUUGUCCUCCUCCCUAAGGUGAUAAAUGCCUGUGCUAGUAGAGUUUCCCUGAGGUCGUGACCUAUUGUUACUAUCGAAGGCAUUAGGUCCAGUCUAGGUGUGAGCCUUUUCAGCUAAGUCAUCUAGAUACUCUAUGGCUUCAUCCGGGUCUUUUUGUAAGAAAUCACCAUUGCACAUCAUUUCAACAAAUUGACACUCUCUAGGAGUUAAGCCCUCAUAAAAGUAACUCACCACACGCCAACUCUCAUAUCCAUGGUGGGGGCAAAGGGUUUGCAACUCUUUGUAUCUUUCCCACGCUUGUAUAAAGUUUCACUCUCCUUUUGAGUAAAAGAAGAGAUUUGCUUUUUCAAUGCAGUUGUUUUGUGGUGGGGAAAGUACUUGUCAAAAAAUACUUGAGUCAUUUUAGGUCAAGUCCCAAUCGAACGUGGUCUCAAUGAAAACAGCCAACAUUUUGCUCGUUCUUUGAGUGAAAAUGGAAAAAAUUUAAGCGUGAUUGUAUCCAUUGUACCACGUUGAUUGUGGAAGGUUGCAACCACCUCCUCAAAUUCCCUAAUAUGCACGUAUGGAUUUUCACUGUCAAGUCUAUGAAAAGUGGGAAGAAGUUGAAUCAUUCCCGAUUUUAGCUCUAUAUGUGGCAUAUUAGGCGGAAACAUUAUGCAUGAUGGUGUGGAUGUACGUGUGGCGUGCAAAUAAUCAUGCAAAGUGCUAUAGGACGCAUCGUCGUGCUCACUAUUAGACAUGGUGUUAUAUGGUGUAGUGCUCGUGCCAACAGAUAUAGUGCCCAAGAAAGGGUUAUAAAGUGAUUCAAACUCAAGUAGAGGCCUAGCAAUAAAUCGUCCACGCUCGCGUCGAUCCAUGUUCAUAAAACAUAAAAAUGGAAUUAAAUGCAAAAUAAUAAAAUAAUAAAAAAAUAAAAAGAUAAAAGAGGAACAAAGUCACCCUUUUGCUCGAGAAUCCUUCAAUUAUUUGUACCGUCUCCCCAGCAACGACGCCAAAAUUUGAUUACACCCAAAGUAUAAUGCGGUGAUUGUAGUACAGUUUGGGGUGUCGUAUCCAUAGGGAGAUGGAAAGUUACUUAAAGGGUCCAACAAUUAGGGUUUUCGUCGUAGUUUGUGUAAAGGAUUUAUUAGUUUUAAUGAAAUAUAAGUAUCAAUGUAUGAAAAUUAGUGAAGCAUCGGAAUUCACUUGCUCAAUUUGGUUCAAACAAUUCAUGCAUAUUACUCAAAAAUCUAGGCUUCAUAUAAUGCGCUCCCACAUUUAUUCAUUGAAAUAAAAUUAAGAAGCGUCCAUAUACAUUAGGAAUAAGGAAGUAAAUAAUCCACCAAUGACAUAAUUGAAAUUGAAGUUCAAUAAAUAUUUUGAUAAAACGAUAGAAAGAGCAUGACUAAUUCUAUGAAAAAUCUAAUAGGAAUUAAACCAAUUUAAAAAACAAUUCAUGAGGAGAAACCUAGAUAAAUUGAGGUUCACUUGUAAUUCUAGAACUUAGAUUUCUUAAAAACACAUUCCGUUUAUAUUUAUUGAAACAAGGUUCGAAGAGCGACAAUAUACCUCAAGCAUAAAGUAGUAAUCGAAUCACGUCAAUAAAUCAAUUGAAAUUUAAACUCAACAAGUAUUUUAAUUAAUCAAUGGAAAAGACAUGAUCGAAUCCAUGAAACAUUCAAUAAAAGUUAAGCAAAUAUCAAAAAUACAAUGAACAAUUGAAAUCUUAAUCCCAGAAUAUUUUUCAAAAUAUAAAUCACAUUACAUGCAUAAGAGAAUGUUGAAAUCCCCAAAUUCGAGCAAGAACCUUUGUGGCUUCACCAAUAGGUUUAGUUCUCCAUGGAAUUCUUGAGCCAAAAACCAAAGAAAAGCGAUAGGAGGUGAAUGGUCCCUGGUCUGGUCGAGAUUAGGGCUUAAAAGUCGUGUGGAAACUUGUUACCAUAAGUGUUUGAGUCGAUUAAGGAAACAGAAUUUUCGGUCUCGAAGAAUAACCAUGUGGCCACAUGGUUAUAAGCCUUGCAGUCACGUGGUUCAAGCCAUUUGGGUCCUUAAAUACUCGGGAGGCAUCCGUGCCGCCGCACCAUGCGACCGCAUGGUUCAAACCUUUUUUUUUUUUCGCCCGACAGUUUUUAGUAUUUUGGCCAUAACUUUUUAUCCUGAUAUCCGAUUGAGGUGAUUCAAGUUUCAUUGGAUAGAUAACUUAAAGGACUACAACUUUGAUUCAGAAGUCAGCUUCCAAUUCGAUCAUCUUCCAUGUCAAAAAUAGGUUCCAACAUGAGGCUGAAAAUCGGUGCGUAACAUUUUCGAUUGGGAAUUGAUGUAUGAUCAAACUUUGAUGUUAUUUCAUCCCUUUGACUUCUUUUCUCAUCCACUUGACCUCUAAAACUUUUGAAUCUUCAUCAUAAUCUUAGACACAAGUUUGGAGUAUUUACACUUUAGUCCCCAAACUUUCGUUCUCUUCUACUUUGGUCAUUUUUCACUUGUUUUUUCCGAAUUUCAUCUUCUUUUUUUUUUUUUUUUUUUUUUUUUAAAAAAAUGCAACCUAAAUCAAAAUGUAAGAAUAAUGAGUGCAUUUUGGUAUCAAACAAUCACACAAAUGCAUAAAUAAGAGGGGAAAAUUAUGAUAUUUUGCACUCUUAUCAUGUGUAUAACUUAAAUUUAAGCCCUCUUUUAUAUGUAUUCAUUGGUAAGUUAUCUCAACCUUUACUAUACAAGUUUAAUAUCAGAAAGCCAAAUCACUCAUUACCAAUGGUUAAAGCUCCAUUCACAGCAGCAGCUAAGUGAAAAAAAGGCCUUUAGGUUGUGCUGUUGAAACUGGACACAAUUAAAGUGUUGUUGUGUUGUAUAUCAGUGAAGUAAGCCAUCUAACCAUAUUUUCCCUGUUUGGGCUUCAUUUUUCCGAAAAUGCAUUUUUUCAAAAUUCAUUUUCAACUACACAUUUCUCCAUACAAUAAUGUUACACGUAGAUCCAAAUUUUUUCCUUAUUUUUUAACCACGCAUUUUUCAAAAAAAUCAUUAUUCCAAAAUACACUUUCAUCCGAUAUUUCAUUUUAAUGGAGCCCAAACAGGGGUGUUAUGCCUCGUAUAUUGAGUUACGACUGCGAAGGGACGAAAAGCUAAACCGAUGAAUCUAUUAAGGCAAAGUGUCGAGUUGCUUACGCAUAUAUACCUGGCCCGCAAUCAACAAAAAGUAAAGAACACCUUAGGGAGGGGCCCAAAUACUAUCUCCCAGGCAGUGUUUGAAGGUGAACUAACGGUUUGAUGCUAAUGGGCAUCUCCUUCAGUGCUUCGCGUCCACUGAUAUUGAGAUGCUCAGGCCUGUAAUUCUAUGCAAAUCGGGCAACCGUUCAAGAUUGUAGAAACCAAAUAAAUUCAAUGUCUCUAAAGAGCAGAGGUAAGAUAUUUGUGAGUGUAAAUUAUAGAAAUGAUUUUUGGACAGAUCAAGAUUACUUCAAAACUGACAGACAAUUAAUUGAAGGCAGCUGCACCAAGCAUCCACUUAGAACCAGGAUCCUCAAGUAAGUAAAAAUUUCAAGGAUGUGGGAACACUCUCCCACAGCUCCACCUUCUAAGUGUUGAGUGGGUCCAGCCCACGUCUGUAGCAACUUAAGCCCAACAUAAGAAAGAAUUGGCCCAAUUGCUUAUUGCUUAAAUUAGGUCAAUUGGUGAAUAUAAAAUGGUCUCUCUCUCUUGUAAAAAACUAUUGCCAAGAAUUGAGAGACAAAAAACAGUGGCUGAAUUUGUGAAAGUGAGAGAAAUUCAAGGGACAAAAACUGUGGUAGAAUUGGUAGACAAUUGGAGAGUCAACAACGGCAGCUAUCAUUGUGAGAAUUAGAAUCUGCCGCUGUUGGAACUUGGGGGAGAAAUAGCCGGCUGCUGGGAGACAUGUCGAGAGAAGAAAAGCUGGAAUUGAGAAAAACAUGUUGCUGCUCAAUUAAGGUGUGGAUUCACACGGUUGAUUUUCUUCUCUACACAUAACAAAUUGGAAUUUCUCUAAGAUAUAUUUUGAAUUAAUAUUCAAAGUGGAUUCUCACAAGUUUAAUCAUAGUGUUGAUUUGUGGUGAGAUAAUUAUAGUCUUACAGAUUGGUUUAUUGUGGUAUUUCCAAUUUACGGAGAAUUCAAGUUUAGGGGCAUAAACUUGAAUAAUUGUAAUCUAUAUUUUAUUAGAGUGAAUUUUGGCCGGAGUUGCCUCGUGAUUUUUUUUCCUCUACACUGGAAGGUUUUUUCCACGUAAAAAUUUGGUGUUCCGUUUUGUUUGUUUUUUGCUUUAAUCAUCUGCUUGCAUAUUUAAUUGCUCCAAUUAACUGAUUGGAUUGAUAAAUUUAUUUAUGCAAUAAUUGAAUUUGCCCAACAAAGUGGUAUCAGAGCUAAGGUUGUGUGGGUGUAGUUUUAUUGUGGAAUAAAUGGAGAAUACUUCGGGCAUUAUGAUUAAAUUGUCGGCUUCAAAUUAUUCUGUUUGGAAGCCUAUGAUGGAGGAUAUCCUGUAUUGUAAGGAUUUACAUGAACCUAUUGAAGGUGAUAGUGCUAAGCUAAGCAGUGUGAGUGACGGUGACUGGAAGAAGAUGAACAGGAAAGCCAUUGGAUAUAUUAGACAGUGGGUUGACCUUAAUGUGUUCCAUCAUAUAUCUCAAGAGACAGAUUCCCAUAGUCUUUGGGAAAAAUUGGAGAGUCUUUAUGAAAGAAAGACCACUCAAAAUAAAACUUUUGCUAUUAGAACGCUUGUAAAUCUGAAGCUAAAGGAGGGAAAAUCAGUUGCUGAGCAUUUGAGUGAAUUCCAAGACUUGGUAAAUCAGUUGACCACGAUGAAAAUAGUGCUAGAUGAUGAGAUGCAAGCACUAUUACUUUUUAGUUCAUUGCCUGACAAUUGGGAGACUUUGGUGGUAUCACUUAGUAACUCUGCUCCGAAUAGUGUGCUUGAACUUACUCUAGUUAAAGACAGCAUGUUUAAUGAAGAAAUAAGAAGGAAAGACUUGGGUAGGAAUGACACAGGUUCUUGUUACAGAGAACAGAGGAAGGUGUAAAAGCAAAGGUCCUAAGGGACGUGGUAACUUCAGAAGUCAGUCAAAGGCAAGAGGAAAGGUCAAAUGUUUUUAUUGUGACAAAGAGGGUCACGUAAAGAAGAAUUGCCUCGCUUGGAAAAAUAAAUUGAAAGAAGAGAAAAAUCAGAAGAAGAUUGAUCAGGAUAUAGCAGCUAGCGCUUCAGAUGAGGAAGUAGUGAUAGCAAUUUUUCUAUUGAAGAUGAACAGUGUUGUCAUGUUGCAGAUUCAUUUGUUGAAUGGGUUAUUGACUCUGGGGCUUCUUACCAUGUUACUCCAAGACGGGAGUUCUUCACUUCAUACAAAUCAGGUGACUUUGGUAGGGUGAAGAUGGGUAAUGAUAGUUUUCGAGCAUUGUCAGAAUUGGUGAUAUUUGUGUUCAGACGAAUAUUGGAUGCAACUUGACAUUGAAAAAUGUGCAACAUGUGCCAGCCAUGCGCUUGAAUUUGCUAUCCACACAUGCCUUUGAUGAGGCAGGGUAUGACAGUUAUUUUGGCAGCGGAAGAUGGAAGCUAACAAAAGGUUCGAUGGUAUUUGCUAGAGGAAAGGUUUGUUGUACACUUUACAAGACAUAAGUAAAGAUGUGUAGUGAAGCGGUGAAUGCAGCUGAAAGUGAUUCAUCACUAGACUUGUGGCACAAGAGACUGGCUCACAUAAGCGAGAAAGGAUUGCAGACUUUGGCAAGGAAGUCCCUCAUUCCUUUUACCAAAGGUACAUCGUUAAACUCUUGUGAUUAUUGUUUAUUUGGUAAACAUCAUAGAGUUUCAUUUCAAAAAUCCUCUAGUAGAAAGUCAAAUAUUUUAGAUUUGAUUUAUUCUGACGUUUGUGGUCCCAUUGAGGUGGAAUCCUUAGGUGGUAGUAAGUAUUUUCUUACUUUUAUUGAUGAUGCUUCACGAAAGUUGUGGGUGUUCUUUUUGAGAUCAAAAGACCAGGUCUUUCGGUACUUCAAGGAGUUCCAUGCCAUGGUGGAACGAAAAAUUGGAAAGCUCUUGAAGUGUCUCCGAACUGAUAACGGAGGGGAAUAUACGUCUAAAGUGUUUAAAGAUUACUGCUCAAAACAUGGUAUUAGACAUGAGAAAAUAGUUCCUGGUACCCCACAGCACAACGGUGUGGCAGAGAGAAUGAACCGAACUAUUAUGGAAAAGGUCAGAAGCAUGAUAAGGAUGGCUGGGUUAUCUAAGUCAUUCUGGGGUGAAGCAGUUCGAAUAGCGUGCUACCUAAUCAAUCGGUCUCCAUCAGCUCCUUUGAAUUUUGAUAUUCCAGAAAAAGUGUGGGCAGGAAAGGACGUUUCUUAUUCUCACUUGAAGGUGUUUGGGUGCAAAGCAUUUGCACAUGUGCCAAAGGAACAUCAAUUGAAACUAGAUGAUAGAUCUAGUCCUUACAUUUUUGUUGGUUAUGGAAAUGCAAAAUUUGGCUAUAGAUUAUGGGAUCCAGAAAAGAAGAAACUAAUCAGAAGCAGAGAUGUGAUUUUUCAUGAAAAUCAGAAGUUGGCAGAUUUUGAGAAAUCUGGGAAUCAGAGACGUGUUGCUGAAGGUGUCACUGACCUUACACCUAUUUCUUUGCCUCCAGACAGUGCCACUCAGGGGGUAGAGACACACGUUGACAGACAUGCUGAUGAGCCAGCAGGGGUUGAUGAGGAUGAUUUAGAGGAUGUUGAGCAGGGGGAGCAGCCUACUACAUCAGAACCUCAGAUCAGAAGAUCUAACAGGGAGCAUCGUCCAUCAACCAGGUAUCCAGUGUCAGAUUAUGUGUUGGUAACUGAUGAGGGGGAGCCAGAAUGCUUUGAAGAGGUAGAAUCUCAUAAGGAUAAACAAAGCUGGGUAAAAGCUAUGCAGGAAGAGAUGAAUUCUUUGCAGAAGAAUGACACUUAUGAGCUAGCAAAGCUUCCUAAAGGUAAAAAGGCAUUGAAAAAUAAAUGGGUGUUCAAGUUGAAGAAAGAUGGCGAAAAGCUAGUGAAGUAUAAAGCUCGAUUGGUGGUAAAAGGCUUUGGUCAGAAGAAAGGGAUUGACUUUGAUGAGAUAUUCUCUCCUGUUGUCAAAAUGACUUCUAUUCGAGUGGUUUUAGGUUUAGUAGCUAGUUUGGAUCUUGAGCUUGAGCAGUUAGAUGUCAAGACCACCUUUCUCCAUGGUGAUUUGGAGGAAGAAAUCUACAUGGUUCAGCCAGAGGGAUUUGAAGUAAGAGGAAAAGAGCAUAUGGUUUGCAGAUUGAAAAAGAGUUUGUAUGGGUUGAAACAGGCUCCAAGACAGUGGUAUAAGAAGUUUGAUUCCUUUAUGGUGGGUCAUAGUUAUACCAGGAUAGAUGCAGAUCAUUGUGUUUAUGUUAGAGAAUUCCAUGGUGGUAACUUCAUCAUCCUUUUGUUAUAUGUAGAUGAUAUGUUGAUAUUGGGACAAGAUGUUCAGUUGAUUCGCAGUUUGAAAAUAGAUCUGUUUAAGUUGUUUGACAUGAAGGAUCCUGGACCAGCAAGACAAAUUUUGGGGAUGCAUAUUCGUCGCGAUAGGAAAGCCAUAAAGUUAUGGUUAUCGCAGGAAAAAUAUGUAGAGAGAGUGCUGGAAAGGUUUUACAUGAAGAAUGCUAAACCAGUUUGGACACCACUUGGUAGUCACUUCAAACUGAGUAAGAUGACAUGUCCUUCUAAAGAAGAAGAUAAAGAAAGAAUGGCAAAGGUUCCUUACUCCUCUAUGGUUGGGAGUUUAAUGUAUGCUAUGGUUUGUACACGACCAUAUAUUGCUCAUGCAGUUGGGGUAGUCAGCAGGUUUCUUGUUAAUCCCGGUAAAGAUCAUUGGGAGGCAGUAAAAUGGAUCUUUAGAUACUUGGGAGGUACUUCAAAUAUGUGCUUAACAUUUGGAGGUUCAAAACCAAUUUUGGAGGGUUUUACAGAUGCAGAUAUGGCUGGUGAUCUUGAUGGUAGAAAAUCUACUUCAGGAUAUUUGGUUACUUUUACAGGGAGAGCUGUCUCAUGGCAGUCCAAAUUACAAAAGUGUGUUGCCUUAUCUACAACUGAGGCUGAGUAUAUUGCAGCAACUGAAGCAGCGAAAGAAAUGCUUUGGAUGAAACGGUUCCUUCAAGAUUUGGGUUUGAAGCAAAAUGUGUUUGUACUUAAUUGUGAUAGUCAGAGUGCAUUAGACUUGAGCAAGAAUGCUACUUAUCAUUCUCAGACGAAGCACAUUGAUGUGAGAUAUCAUUGGCUACGAUAGGUAGUGGCAGAACAAUUGAUAUUGUUAGAGAAGAUUCAUACAAAGAAUAAUCCAGCUGAUAUGAUGAUAAAAGUUGUGACCAGAGAAAAGCUUGAGUUUUGUGCCGGACUGGCCGGCAUAGAUUCUAACUAAUUUGUUAGAGGUUAAUCUCCUUCUCAGUGGGCUGGAGGGGGAGAUUGUUGACUAGAUCCAGCCCACGUGUGUAGCAACUUAAGCCCAACAUAAGAAAGAAUUGGCCCAAUUACUUAUUGUUUAAGUUAGGUCAAUUGGUGAAUAUAAAAUGGUCUCUUUCUCUCUCGUAAAAAAACUGUUGCCAAGAAUUGAGAGACAAAAAGCAGUGGCUGAAUUUGUGAAAGUGAGAGACAAAUUCAAGGGACAAAAAAUGUGGCAGAAUUGGUAGACAAUUGGAGAGGUCAACAACGGUGGCUAUCAUUGUGAGAAUUAGAAUCUGCCGCUGUUGGAACUUGGGGGAGAAAUAGCCGGCUACCGGGAGACGUGUCGAGAGAAGAAAAGCUAGAAUUGAGAAAAACAGGUUGUUGCUCAAUUAAGGUGUGGAUUCACACGGUUGAUUUUCUUCUCUACACAUAACAAAUUGGAAUUUCUCUAAGAUAUAUUUUGAAUUAAUAUUCAAAGUGGAUUCUCGCAAGUUUAAUCAUAGUAUUGAUUUGUUGUGAGAUAAUUGUAGUCUUAGAGAUUGGUUUAUUGUGGUAUUUCCAAUUUGUGGAGAAUUCAAGUUUAGGGGCAUAAAUUUGAAUAAUUGUAAUCUAUAUUUUAUUAUAGUGGAUUUUGGCCGGAGUUGCCCUGUGGUUUUUUUCCCUUUACACUGGAGGGUUUUUUCCACUUAAAAAUUUGGUGUUCCGUUUUGCUUAUUUUUUGCUUUUGAUCAUCUGCUUACAUAUUUAAUUGCUCCAGUUAACUGCUUGGAUUGAUAAAUUUAUUUAUGCAAUAAUUGAAUUUGCCCAACAAUAAGAACACAACGAGAGUAAGCAAAUGCUGUACCUGACGGAGGGCACCUGGAAUGGGGAACGAUUUAUGCUUAGAUACAAUAGAUGCACGACGAACUUUUCCAAGAUUGUUUCCUGCAGGUCUGUUUUCUAAUACUAAAUAUUCAUUUUCUGUAACAGAUUGGGCAAGGCUGAAAAUCUUCAUUUAUCUUGUACCUUCUUAUGGCUCCACCUUCAUAUUCCAUGACGUCUUCAAACACAGACAUCCAGACCAACUCAUUGAAAUACUCAUCCCCAAUUUAUUCUAGUGCCUUGCUUCCACCAUAUGGAAGAAUUAGGCCAAGUGCCAUCCACAUAUGGAUUAAUUUCUCCCUCUUGAUUUCGUAAUUCUUCGGAAAUAUUAGAAUGCAAAGCAGUGUUUGAGAUGCGGCACAAAUGCCUGUACAGGUAAAUUUUUCUUUUUGUAAUCCUUCCAAAUCCAAAUAUUACUAUUCUGCACAUUUAGCCACUCCCUCUCCUCUCUCUUAAAGCGCAUGAGACCACCAAGAAUUUUUGCGGCCAAAGGCACACCUCCACAUUUCCGCAUUAGUUCUUUCCCAAUUGAAUGAAGGUUUGGAUACUCCUCUUCUUCCGUUCGAGUAAAAGAAGCACGCUUUGUGAAUAUUUUCCUGCAAUCGUCAUUUGACAAACCCUUCAAGUGAUAUGCUGUAUCUGAAUUGCCUAUAACCAAUGCAGCUUUUUGACUGCGGGUUGUGACAAGUAUUUUGCAUCCAUCAAGUCCACGCUGAAACAGUGGCAUCAGUUCAUCCCAAUCACCUUGAUCUUCAUUCCAAACAUCAUCGAGUACGAGAAGAUAUUUCUUUUCUUUUAGUGAUUCCCACAUUUGAGAGUGCAGACCGUCCAAGUCCAUUAAAUCACAUUUAUUUCCAGUUGAUUUCUCAAUUACUUGUUUAAUUAUUCUUUUGGCAUUACAAUCUUCUGAUACAAAAACACAAAUUCUUCAAUCAUCGAAAUGUUUCUUUACCUUAUCGUCAUUAUAGAUGAACUGAGCAAGAUUGGUUUUUCCAAUGCCUGGAGUGCCGAUUACUGAUAUCACAGGUGUAGUUCCUCCACUGACUAUUCCAGAUGGUGUUAAUAACAUAUCUAUUAUCUUUCUUUUGUCUUCCUCCCUUCCAUAAACCUCAGAUCCAAUAACAAAAGAGCUAGUUUCCUUAUUUUCAAAUUGCUUAUUUAAGCUGAGUCCUUUCGCUCUGCCUUUUCUAAAUCAUCAAGAUUGAUCCUUGGGUUGCCGAAAUUAAUAUGAUAUCUUUCUCUCUUAUGCAUAUAGCUAAAUUUGAAUUUUUCAAGCAAGUCCUCUACUUUGUGUUGGAAAAUUUUACCGAUUGGAAAUUUCAGUAGUGAUGCAUCUCAUUAAGAGACAUAAUUAUUGAAAAUUAAUCGUACCCGUAUUCAUGAUAUUUUGUAUCGAAAAUUGGUUGUGAUCAAUUUUACAUGAUUAUUUAAGUGAAAUUCUAAAUUUGGCGAAUGAGAAAUUAAGCCAAAUGUAAGCCGCUUAAUACUUGAAACUGUUAGAAAAUUGUAUAGAAUAUUAUGGAAUAUUCUAGAAAGAGAUGGAUGAAAAGAUGUGUCUUUUCAUAUGAAUCUAAUAAUUAGAAAUUCCAAGAGGUGUCUCUUGGUGUGGGUGUGUCUUUUGACAUACAUUUCCAACCACUAUAUAUUGACCCCAUAUGUUUGAAUUUGAUCAUUCAUAAAUUCAAGUCAAUGGAUAAUUUCAUAUCAUUCCAUUACAUGUCUACAGUUUAAUUUUCAUUAAACACUUGCAUCAAAGUCAUGUUAUGGUAGAGAGGGAAUUUCGUUCGAGUUCAUUGAUCUAAACCAUUUGGAGUGCUCCUAUAGCUAGACGUUGUAGUUGUAUCUUGGGAGAUGAUUGCUGGGAAAAUCCUUAGCAUCGUUGCGGGACAAAUUCAUUUUAAAGACAAAGUGUCCAACACUUGUCUAGGCCAAUCGCAUCUCCUCUUGAUUCUUUCUGAUUUCUUCCUUCGUAUUUGAUUUCAGAAAAUUAAUAACAUUCUUUUGAUUUCAUGUUGGUUUAAAAUAAAGAAUGGAAAUGAUUGAAUCUACCGUUUCAUCUUUCCAAAUUCAUUUUGGUAAUUUGAAAUUACGUUUUGAUUUCACGCAAAUAAAUUGCACGAAUAUAAUAUGCACUAUAUCGGUAAAAAUUUUCAACAAUCUUAAGAUGAAUUUUGUUUUUUGUGAAUAAAAAUAUUCUGUUAAAUACAUACAUCUGUCUCAUCUUGAAAUUUGUGAAUUAUGAAGCAUACAUAAAAUCGAAUUGAAUAAGUUAGAUUGCUGUGACCAUCGAUGGCAUUUCUUCAAGUUAUGCAUAUAUUAUUCGACAAAUUCAUGUUGAUCCAUAUUUGCCAAUAAGUCAGCCAUAAAAAUAUGAUGUGGCUAAGGCCAUGAAGUUGAACAACGUUUGAUGGUCAAAUGGUGGCCAAGAAUAUAUAUUAAAUACACACUGAUACAUUGUUGCAAAUUGAACUAAUGACUUUGGGCCGAACUCUAAACAUUAUGGCCUGUGCAUUCUUUUAAAUAUUUAAAAGGAAAAUGCAUGUGUUUUGAAUUCUCUCAUGUACCAACAUGUAUAUUUGGUAAAAAAUGGUGGCUAUGAAUAGAAAUCAUAAGACCAACUUUGUUUACCAUGAAAGCAGUAAACUGUUUCUCGCUAAGAAAAGUGAAAGUUAAUUACUGUGAAUGCCUUUUCAAUUACAUGUCCAUUGUAUAAAAUCCAUUACGAAACUGUGCUAUCCAUUUAUGUAUGGUUGUAAAUGUUGGCUACUUGAGUGGUUCCGUUUACUUGUGGUGGACUAAAAAUCUAUUAAAUAUAUGAUUAAUGCAAUUCAUGUUGGAAAUUAAAUUUUGAUUGUGGCUCUUCAUUGAAUUAUAAAGUACGUUUUGAUGCCCCAGUUUGUAACUGUAAUUGGAAUAAAUGAUUGGAAUAAUGGACUUUUCAUUUUAAAUGCAAUGAAAACGAUGGACUUAUACAUGUACUUGUGUCUAUUACAUCUUUGAUAUUAAUAAUUUCAAAUUAUGAAUUGAUUAAAUUAUAAAUGGACAUUGUGAAUCAUUUCAUAUUUUGCAAGUUGAUACUUCCAAGUUAAAAAUUAUGAACGGGCAUGUAGUUUCAUGAUUUUGACGUAUAUAAUUUAUUUAUCAAUAUAAUGGUUUGCGCCUUGUUUGGAAUGAUUAUACAAAUAUGUAUGAAGGAAAUCUAUGUCCCUUCAUUUGGAUAUGCAACUUUGUUGUUGUCUAUAUGAUAAUUACGGAAAGUGGAUAUGGAAUGUGACAUUAUAGUGUCAUUUGUAUAAAUGUGAAUUUCAAAUAGUGAAUUCAUUUGGUGAAUCCGUACAAGGGUUUGGAUUUCGGAUAGACUUUUUGGUAUGUAUAUGCAAAUCCGGUAUAUGAAGUAAGUUGUAUAUAAGCUGAAUAUACGGUAUGCUGGUGCAAAUAUGGUAUGUUGUUGCAAAUACGGUAAUCUGUUGUAAAUACGGUAUAUUGGUACAAAUACGGUAUACUGCGUAUACGGUAACAUGUAAUUACGGUAAUCUGCAUAUACGGUAAUUUGUAUAUACGGGGUGCGUAAAUACAAUACAUUGCAUAUACGGUAUAUGUUCAUCCGAUAUUGAUUUGAAAAUUAUAGUAACCUUGAUUUAUGAUGAUAUCCUCAAAUAAUUCUAUGAAAUUAAAUGAGAUGACUUAUGGAAAAUUAUAGCUGCAUAAGAGUAUGAGAAAAUGUGGUUUUAUCCUAAUUAUUUUAAAGUAGAAAUUGCUUGCCCAAUUAUUGAGAUAUGAAAAUAUUUUAUAGAGCACAAAUGUUGUCUAUAGUUGGUGGUGAUGUCGGAUAUCCUUAAAAAUAAUGAUUGUAAAAGACAUUCAUUUGUAAAGGAUAAAAAUCAUGUUAUGUAAACUGUGAAGAAUAUUAUGAAAUAUUCUAGAGGUAUGUCCUUUUAUAAAGUUGUGACUUUGAGAACACAAUUUGUCAACCUAUGGUUGAUUAAUUCAUUGAAAUGUGAAUAUGGAGAAUAAGGAGAAGUUACUUGGUCUUCUUCAUUGUUGAAUUUGACUUCAAUCUUGGAACUAAUUAAGUUGGUAUGUGUUUUGAAAGUGUUGUUGGUCUAUGUGAUGACCUUGAUUUAAUUUGGAUGAUCAAAUUAAUAUGAUUGAUUGAAGUACAAUUUCGAAUGGAAAAUGAUUUUCAUUUGUGUGAAUCAACGACCAUUAUUUUGAAAGUACUUAGGCUUUCACGAAGCACUUGAUAUGGAUAUUGUCUAAGUGAUAAAUGGAUUGAACUAUGAAAGAAAUUGAUGAACUUUAAGUUCAAGAAUAACCCAAAAAUGUGGGGGUUAACAUUAAUAUUUGAGAACUUACAAGACAAGUUCAAGUCGUGUGUGUGUGUGUGUGCAAUGCUACUAUGAAAGAAAUUAUAUAUAUAUAUAUAUAUAUUUAUAAAUUCCUAAGCCUAAACAAAUAAAGAUUGGUCCCAAAAUAACUGAUUGUAUAUUUAUUGGAUACUCCAAUAAUAGUAGUACAUAUCAUUUUCUUGUAUACGAAUCGAAUGUACACGAGGGUACCAUAAUUAAGUCAAGAAAUGCAAUGUUCUUUGAGAAUGUGGAAAAUGUAAGUUUGAAUAAAAGAAUAUAUGAAACUACAAAUGGGUCUUCAAAUGAGGAAGAAUCAAGGUGUAGUAAGAUGACUAGAAUGUCCACUUCGUUUGGUCAAGAUUUUCUAACAUAUAUGAUAGAAAAUGACUCAAAAACUUCUAAAGAAGCAAUGUCUAUUUCGGAAGCAUUGCAUUGGAAGAAAGCUAUCAAUAGUGAGAUAGAUUUCAUAAUGCAAAUUCAUAUAUGAGAAUUGGUAGAUAUACCUACAAGAAGUAAGCCUUAUGGUGUAAAUUGAUUAAAACCUUAUUGAUUCAUUGACAAAUAUAAGGCUACAUUGGUUGCCCAAGGAUAUAGGCACGAAGAUGGAUUUGACUUCUUUACCUACUCACCCAUGACUAGAAUAACUUCGAUAAGAUUACUAAUUGCAACUGCGACAAUACAUAACCUUGAGUUUCACCAAAUUGAUGUGAAAACGGGAUUCCUAAAUGGUGAGUUAGAAGAAGAGAUAUACAUGGAGCAACCUGAAGGUGUUUCCCAGUGAAAGUCACAAAGUUUGUAAACUUGUUGAGUUCUUAUAUGGACUGAAACAAGCUCCUAACACCAAAAGUUUGACAAAAUGAUGAUGUCAAAUGAGUUCAAAAUAAAAGAAUGUGACAAAAAUACACCAGAUGUUAUAUGUAGAAAAUAUGUUGAUGAUGGACAAUAGUCACGAAGUGGUGCUAAAUACCAAGAAAAUACUUAUGAAGCAUUACGACAUGAAAGAAAUGGGUGUGACAGAUGUAAUACUAUAGAUAAAAAUCUCUAGAAUAUUGAAAGGAAUUGUACUUUUCUAGUCUCAUUAUGUUGAGAAACUAUUUAAACAGUUUGAAGUAUUAUGGGAAAGUUCGAAAAUACCCUAUUGACACAAGUCUACACUUGGUCAAAAUAAGAGUGAAAACGUGUCACAACUAAGAUAUUUACAAGUAAUUUUCAUUCUAAUGUAUAUUACGAACUAAACUUGAUCGGAUAAUGCUUUUGCUGUGAAUAAACUCAGUAGAUUCAUAAGUAAUCCAGACCAUGGUUAUUGAGUGAUAUUGAUAGGGGUCCUUAGGUAUUUGAAAUACCAUGACCUAUGUAUUACAUUUCACAAGAUAUUCUGCGAUAUUGGAAGGAUAUUGUGAUACGAUGAUAUACACUAAGUCUAAAGUGGAUAAAAUGGGAUGAAAGUCGAUCAUGACGGUUGUUUGGAUAUACAAGAACAAUUGGAAUAUUGGAGAAUAUUCAUAAAGUUCGAAUGUAUUGCAAUGCUUUAAUGAUGAUAUUGAAUACCUAUGUAUGAAAUUCACUAGUAAAUAUGAUUAACUAGUGUAAUAAUUUGAUAGAAAUCCUUCGAUCUUGUUUGGAAUUGAUAAAGCUUUAGAUAAAGCUAAUGAGAAGAAUAUAGCUUCAUAAGAGGAUGUCUUAGUUGGUGACAAUGUGUAUCUAUCAAAUGAAUCGAUUGUUGGCUAGCUAAAUUUAAAAAAAUACUAAGUCACAUGUAAUGGUAAGUCUAGACGUGUAAGUCAUAGACAUAAUGCCAUAACCAGUUGAUCUUAUUGAUGUGAACUUGUGGAUCCAUUUAUAUAUGCUUACUAAGAGAUCAAGUAUACUGCAUAUCGAAAAGAAUGAAAUUAAGCCUACUGAGUAAGAGUCCUUAUGAUGGUAACCCUACCUUGUUGACUGGAGAUCCCAAUAUCUUAGUUCAAAGGGAUAACUAAGUUAUGAAAAAUUCAUGAAGCACUUAGGAAACUAUCUCCUAACUCAUUCCUAUGAUACCAAAGUGCUUACUGUAGAGUGGUUGGAGGUUAAGAUAAACUUUUAAUGAUCCCUAUAUCUUGAUUAAGUCAAGUGGAGUAGGGCAGAAUACUCUUAAUAGGAGGUCACCUAUGUAAGUUUGAAGUGGGGCUUCUUCAAUGAGAUUAUUCAAGGCUUAAAUUCUCUAAACACUUACAAAAUCAAGAUGGAUUCAGGGUCAAAAUGAGCCUAGUCAUGAGAAACAUAAACGGUUUAUUAGAGCUAUUGUGUGAGUAUUGUUGCCCUGGUUUACACCAAUGGCUGAUGGUUCAAGAACAUCGCGUUCACCAAUUAACUAGUAAAUUCGAUAGUAUUUCACUAAAAAAGAUUCAAAGCCAGAAACCACCUUACCUGAUGCAGUGUUUUCCCGCUCCCUCUUCCAGUGUUUGCAUAGAUAUUGGCAUUAAUUUUCGUUCAUGUGGGGGAUUGUUGAAAUUUUGUAUCAAAAAUUGGUUGUGAUUAAUUUUAUAUGGUUGUUUAAGUGGAAUUCUUAAUUUGGUGAAUGAGAAAUUAAGCCAAAUAUAAGCCGCUUAAUACUUGAAAUUGUUGAAAAACUGUAUAGAAUAUUGUGAAAUAUUCUAGAAAAAAAUGGAUGAAAAGAGGUAUCUUUUUAUAUGAAUCGAAUAAUUAGGAAUUCCAAGAGGUGUCUCAUGGUGUGGGUGUGUCUUUUGACAUACCUUUCCAACCACUAUAUAUUGACCCCAUAUGUUUGGAUUUAAUCAUACAAAAAUUCAAGUCAAUAGAUAAUUUCAUAUCAUUCCAUUGCUUGUCUAAAGUUUAAUUUACAUCAAACACUUGCAUCAAAGUCAUGUUAUGGUAGAGAGGGAAUUCCGUUCAAGUUCGUUGAUCUAAGCCAGUUGGAGUGCUCCUAUGGCUAGACACGAUCGUUGUAUCUUGAGAGAUGAUUGUCGAGAAAAUCGUUAGCACCGAUGCAUGGCAAAUUUAUCUAAAGGACAAAGUAUCCAACACUUGCCUCGACCAAUCGUAUCUCUCCUUGAUUCUUUCUGAUUUCUUCCUUUAUAUUUGAUUUUAGAAAAUUAAUAACAUUUUUUUUGAUUUCAUGUAGGUUUGAAAUAAAGAAUGUGAAUGAUUGAAUUUGUCAUUUCAUCUUUCCAAAUCCAUUUUGGUAAGUCGAAAUUACGUUCCAAUUCACACAAAUAAAUGCCAUGAAUAUAAUAUGCACAAUAUCAGUAAAUUUUCCGACACUUUGUAGGCUGCAUCUUUGAGCUGAAAAAGCCAAAUUCUAAUAGCAUUAUCAGUAAUUUGCCGCUCUUCUGCAUCCUGGAUAAUGGCUUGGAUCCUUGGCAGUAUUCUUUGGAGCUUGUUGAGCCAGCUAUUGAGAUGCUAAAUAUCAGCAAUCCUUCGGAAAACAGGAUCUGCUAUCUUCUUAGUUAUGACUUGUAAAAAUGGAGGCACAAAGAUGCUUGCCAUCUUCAAGCUUGGUGCUUUAUCAAUUUUGAGAUGAAAAUGAUAUUGUGAAGAACAAAUUAUUUUUCUCAAUUUCAAUAAGUCGAUAAUUUGCAGGUUGUAACUUUUUCAAGAGAAGAUAGCAAAACAGGCCAAAAAGUAGAGGUUGGAAAUUUCUUUCUAAUUUCCUGUGAGAUUCCAAUCAUGUUUUUGAAACUCAAAAGAGAUUUCCUAAUUUGUAAUUUUUAGUAGAAUUUGAUUAAAAAAAAAAAGAAGGAAAUUUGUUAUUAAAAAGUUAUAGAUUCCAUUAAGUAUGUGGUUAAAAUUAAUUAUUAACUUUGACUUUGAUAAAAAAUUAAAUUAUAAUAUCUAUGAUAUAGGGAUUUAUUUUUCAAUAAAAUUGCAAAGUCUAAGGAUACAUUUUAUUUAUUGUUUUUAUCAAAAUUCUUGAAAUUUUUGAUUAGAGAUUUCACUUCAUUGUAGGAGUUUUUCAAGUGCAUGUUUGGAUAAGCAUGCUUAUUAGGCUCAACUCAAUUAUUGAUCCAGCUGAGGUACUAGAUUAUCAAAUUGUUGAUUGAACCGACGGCUCAACGAUCAGAUCGGUGGGUUAUUAUUUGAAACUUAUUUAAUUUUCUAAUAGUAUAAAAAUAUUUUUUGAGAGAAAAUUAAAAUUUUAAGUUUUUAUCACUAAUUAUUUGUAAUCUAUAAAUUAUAAAUUUUUUAACUUAUUUAUUAGUGAUAAUAAUUACAUUUUGAUUUUAUAAAUUUGCAUAUUUAUAUUUAAAAAAAUUAUUUAUUCCCAUUUUUGUUAUGUUAUGUAGAAAUCAUUUAUUAGUUAUCGAUAAAAAAAUUAUGUGGUGCUGAUGUGCUUGAGCCCCAUUAUUCCAAUUUUUUGCCAAUUCCAUUGUGAAACUUUUUUCAUUGUAGGGGCCACAAUGAAUGAAUUGUGAAUAAUUCUUGAGUCGGUAUGCACAUACAGGGGCCUGUGAAAAGGCCCCUGCCAGGUAAGACACACGUGGAGGCGGGCUCCACAAUUUUUUUUAAAUACAAGUGGGGCCUCGCCACUGCACAGUGAAGAGCUUGUGAAGCCCCUGUAAAGGUUGUACCUGUACUUGCAGCCUGAUUCAUAAUUCCCAGACAAACAUCAUUCAUAAAGGUUGAACUCCAACAUUGAGGACCCCUACCGUCCCGUCUCUAGAGAUUUGUAAGAGAGGUAAAUCACGGGAUGCGUCCCAACAAGCCAGAGAACAAGAGCUGUAUGUACACUGCUCCUACAAGGAGUCUAAUUCCAUGUCUCAGGAAUCGAACCUCAACACUGCUGCUGCCAGCAAGGCGUGAGAUAACCUCACUUCUAUCCUUUGCACUACUGGACUAUGUCCUUGGGGAGGGGGGGGGACAAACACCAUUCAUGAUUGACUCUUGGAGAGUUGUGGCAGGUACCCAAAUCUGUUUCCUGUUUACCCUUCAAAUAAAUGGUGGGAGGUUAUUUAAAAGUUGAGGAAUAGCAGGGUUAAUUUUGGAGAUUAGUUUCAAAAAAAUGAGGAUGUUUUUGAUCUUUUGAAUUUCAACAUUUUUGCAAAAAUUAAAAGGCCUGACGUGGUUAUGUCCACUUGCAAUUUUUUAACAAUUAAUUUACUGUUUAAAAAUUAGAAAGUUGGCAAAAAGUUGGAAUAAUAGGGCUAAACCAGUGGGAGGAGCUGAUUUCUGACCGCAAAAGAAAGUCUUCAUAAAAAAAUCGUCAUUUGAUAUUAACACAACGAAGUAAAAAUGAAGAACUAUAAUUUUUUUCAAAAUAUUUUUUAAGAACAGUAAAUGAUUCAUGUUAGAUAUAGUUAGUUACAUAAAAAUGUUAACAGUUUGUUGUAUCUUCUGUUGAUGACGUUGUCGGUCUUACUCCCUAGGGGAAUCCUUGGACACUAAUAUUUCAAAAUGUAUAUAUAUAUUUUUUUAAACCUGAUCAAUUGGGUCGACAACUUUAUGAAAUAUUGUCGAUUGGCCUAGUCAAAGUCAAUUACACCUUGCUCACUGACACAUUGCAAAUCACGUUCCAAUUAAUUUUCCUUACUUAACUUAAAAGUGUCGUGGUAAAUAGUAAUAUGGCAAGUAAGGGUCAUUUACCACAGAGAAUUGAUUCAAUUAUGUCAAUUGAGCACACAAACAUAAUAUUAAUAAUUAAAUGCGAAACAUAUUAAAUGGGAGGGGGGUUUGGUUCGUUUAACUAAGGAAAGCGAUAAAUUCAAAAUAGAAAAGACUUGAAAUUUGAAAUAAAUAAAGUGCUUUUUGAUUGAAAUGAGAAAAUGUGAUUUAGGGAUAUUUUGUCACCAAGAGAAUGAUUUUCAUGUCAAUUGUCAUAAUGGAUUUUCCUUCUCUUGAUUAAUAACAAUUCGAGAAUAAUUACAAGUUCAAUUAUCUCAAUCUCUUCUUACAUAUUAGUCGAAUAAAACAAGCUCUUCACUCGACCUCAUUCAUUAAACAACCUAGAACAAGCUCUCUAGAUUUAAUUUAACAAACGCAUUACGACAAAAGAGAUGAAUUGAAUUAAGGGCAAACUCGCAAGUUCGGUUCACUAACUUAAGUGUCAAUCCACAUACAUUCAAUCGAAAAAUUCUUCAUAAUCUAUCAAAAUGUAAUUGCUACAAGGUUUUAGAAUUAAUAACGAUUACAUACUAUAAAUCCCAAAGUAGCAUUCAUCGAAACUAACCAAUCAUUUAGUUGUACACCUAAACAAUCAAGAAAAACAAAAUAAUCUUUUAACACAAUGGAUUAAACACAUCAAUCACGAGAACUAUAAAGCACAAAUUAAUUGAAAAUCAUAAUUCCGGUUUAAUAUAAUCCCCAACCACAAAUAUGUUUAAUUAUCCAUGAAAUAUCCACAAAUAACCAACAAAUUUUUACAAAAUAUUAAUGGAAAAUAAAUUAGAGAAAAGAAAAGCUUAUUGAUAAUUUGAGAAAUAGUUGAGAAAUGGGUCUCCUCUUCCAAGCUAUUUCACUAUCUCCAAGCUUUAAUCUUCGCCAAAAUAUCCAAGCAAAUUAAGGUGCAAGAUGAAGGAAAAUGAAAAACAAAAGAAAAGAAAAUAAAAGAAAAACGGCAGCCCAAAAAUAUUGGAAGAGAAAGUGCCGGCUGCUCCCCAAAUGAAAAACUGCCCAGAAAAGUCCCAUGUCCUAUGGUUUUAAAUCAAAACCUAAGUGAAUAUUGCAGCUGCUGUCCCUGAGAAUCUGGAAUUUAACAAAAAAUGCCCCGCUACAGUAAAGAUGGGCGCCUAGGCGCUGGAACAGUGGUGCCCAGGCGCCCAGUUUCUGCUUAAGUGGGCAGGCCGAGCUGCCUUUUCUGUUUUAUAAUUUUUUUUUUUUUAAAUUUCGGCUACGUUUUUUAUCGUCUUCUUCGUUUGCCUUCAUCUUUUACUCUUUUCUCGCCUUAAUUCCUUCAAAUCUUCUCGUUUAACUCGGGUUUUCACCUACACAAUAAAAACAACAAAAUUAAGUAAUAAAUUACUAAAGAAACUCACAAAUAAUUAAAUUCAAUGGUCCAAAUAAGUGCAAAAACGCGCACUUAUCACUCACAUCAUUAGGAUGGCCGGAUCAAGGCUAGGGUCGUCGAGCAUGCUGUCUGAUUGAGGAGAUGGGUCAAGGUUAAUAGCACUAGUUGCAUUACUAUAGAAGGUAUGGUUAAUAAUUUAUUAGAGUUUGAAUUAAUGUUAAGUAAAUUAAAAAAAAAAAACAAAGAGAGUAUAUAAUCUAGAGUUAUUUUUAAAAUGAAUUCUAAUUCUUAUGCAUAACUCCGUCUCUUACUUUUCUUAAAAAUGAAGACUCAAUGUUGCAUUGUUCCAUUUAAAAAUGUAUUUUAUAGCUAAACCUAAGAGCAUUUUUGAGCCCCACUUUUCUUUAAGAAUGUAUUUUAGAAUGGUAAAUUGAUGACGGAUGUUUGACUAAAAAAUAAGAUUUUUUUGAAUUUACGUGUAAUAUUAUUUUAUUGAAAAUGUGUGGUUGAAAAGAAAUUGGAGUCAAAUGUAUUUUGGAAAUAAUGGGGACCAUAUAAAGGCUAAAUAAUAAAUUUGCAAUUUGAUUAAGUCAAAAUUUAUUCCAAAAAGAGAAAAUGCCCAUCAAUUGAUAUGAAAUAAUUCUACCUGUAUAUAAGGAAUUAUAGAAGGUUUUAUAGAUAAAUGAUAUGUCAAGAGGAGAGUGGAGAAGGAUUUUUAUUUUUUUAUUUAUUUUUAUCUACUCCAAUCAUAUAUCACUACAUCAUAUUUAUGUAAAUCACUUACAAAAUCAGUAAGUGGUAAUAUAGAAGGUUUUAUUUAUUUAUUUAUUUAUUUAUAAAAGAGUGUAACAUUUUAAACCAACUAGGUAUGUGUAUACAAUUGAGAUAUAAUUUGUCUAAAAUUGAAAAUUGGUAGGUUUGGUUGGCAACGUAUUCACCUAAAUGUAAUCAUGUCAUGCAACACAACAUGAUCAAAUUAUACACAACUAUUGAUAGAUGAAUUGACAUACUUUGUUCAUUAAUUUAUCAAGUAGUAGUCAUUAUAUUAAGACAUGCUUAUUUAAAAAGAUGAAUGAUUAUCAACAUCACCAAAAUACGAAAAGGGACAACUCAUUCAUGUCAAUUCGACUAAAUACACAUUUUAAGCUCAAACUCAAUACAGUUUCAUGUUUUUAUAUUUUAUUACUUAGUUAAAAACAUGUUAUAUUUAUCUACAACAGAAAGCAAUAAAUUUCCAUCACAAAGCUUGCCUUUUGUCACGGAUCGCAAGAUCAUGACUUAAGGUUUGGAAUAACACGGGAAUGUCAUGGCACAAGGUGGGAAAAUGAGAUAGACUUAUGGCAAAUAAGGUCUAUGUUUCGGCGAUAUAUGGCGAUGAGUGUGUCGCCAAAUUCAGUGGGGGAGUGAAUUACGCCCACGCGGUCGCAUUCGAUCCGGACCUAUAGCGGUCACAAGAUGGCGCGGGUAACGCGUUUUUGAAUGACAGAAUAGCUUGCGAUAGGGGACGCAAGUAGAUUCGACAAGGGAUGCAGGUAAACUCGAGCUGGGGACGCAAUUCGACUGUUUUGGGGCAGAAUGUAGGCUGCCUAGAUCAUGCAGGUUUCCAGGGCGUUAAUGAGGUUUUUGUAAGUCCCGACUCAGCCAUUUUGGGGAGGUAAAAUACAUGAACCUGCCGCCGGAUAUUUUGAGGAUGCAAGUGGGCAACUUGCACAACUUGUCCACUUGUGUACCACUUGCAAGCUAAACGCGAGUUGUAUGCAAGCUACGCACGAGUUGGCGAAGAUAUUAACAACAUGCAAGCGAGGCGCGAGUUGUAUGCAAGCUUAGCACGAGUUGGCGACAACUUGUGAGGCAAGUUGUAAGAUAAUCCACUUGAAGACAACUAAGAAUGAGUUGGCGACAGCUAAGCACGAGGUGGCGACAACCAAACACGAGUUGUAAAGUGGAAGGUUAAGGAGGUUUAAGUUUGCCUAUAAAUGGAGAGGUAGUCUCAUUUGUAAAUGGUAUGUAAUAAAUGUAGUAGAUGUUAGAAAAUGUAGAGAGUGUAGAGAAUGUAGAGUUGAGUGAGUUUAUUCAUUAGAGAGAUUGUAAAGUUUUCCCUUCAUAUAUUCAAAGAAAGUUUCUCAACCUUACUUGUUUUUCAUAUAUCCCUUACUUCAAAAUUAUCUUCUCAACGUGGGUAUAAUUUAGCCUCAUUGGUUAAAUUAUUUGUGGGCGUGGAAAGGCUGAUUUAACGUUUUCUCGUGAGGUGCGGGAAUUGUAGAACGUUAAGGUCGCACGGUUCUAGUUUGUUCAGGUGUAACGAAACUAGGCCCGUGACACUUUGCUUUCUUUCUUUUUAAAGGCAUGUCUAGAGCGCCUAUCAGGCUAUCACAACUUGUACAUGUCAUAUGUCCUCAGUUGUGGGGCUAGGAUCUUGAUGUUGAAGAAAGUUUAGAAGACAAAAUUUGCAUAUGUAUUAAAAUAAUUUCAAAUUUUCUACUAAUUAUCAAAAAUAUUAAAUGUUGUUGGAUUGAUAACCACUCCAGUCCCCUAGGUUUGCCCUUGCAUGUCCCUGUAGUCGGGCAUGACACAACCUGAUUAUUGGAAGCGAGCUGACCAAUCACCUAUGUUAGUCAUGUCGAAAUGGAUUUUUAGUCCAAAUGAAAAUAAUUCGGUAUAGUUUGACACUCAAUAAUACUAAUCAUAGAAUUAGAAUUAAUUAAAUCAUGGAAUAUUAAUUUGUAUAAAGAAAGAUGAUUGCAAACAUCAUUUCUGAACGUCUUAUAUUAGCUUGUUUUUACAUUUUACCCCAGAUUCUCUGGAAGUGUCAUGGCCACUAGUUUACACAACGCAAUUCAAUCAUUAGAACGAUUAAAUUUUAUAUUAGGCCCUUGUUUGAGUCAUAUUAUUUUCAUAAAAAUGCAUUUUUAAAUAAUAUAUUGAUGAAAAAUGUGUGAUUAAAAAAUAAAGAAAUGUUUUGAAUUUAUGUAUAAUAUUAUUUUAUUGAAGCAUAUGUGGUUGAAAUAAUGUUAAAUUACUAUUUAAAAAUAUAUAUAUUUUUAAAGAAUGUGGGUCAAAUAGAGCCUAACUCUCAAGUGUUGUGCCAGCUCAUUUUACAGCUCCAACAUUCGAUUGCUAGAUCAAGUAAUUUCAUACUAACUUUUCGACGAAUGUGUACGACUAACUUAAAUUUAAGCUCUCUUUUGUAUGUAUUCAUCAAUAAGUACCUCUGUAAAGGUGCUCCCGGGGCAUAGUCCAGUAGUGCAAAGGACAGGAGUAAGGUUAUCUCACGUCUUGCUGGCAGCUACAGUAUGGGGGUUCGAUUCCUGAGACAUGGAAUUGAACUCCUUGUAUGCGCAAUGUACAGACAGCUCUUGUUCCCUGACUUGAUGGGGCACAUCCCGUGAUUUACCUCCCUCACAAAGCUCUAGAGACGGGACGGUAGGGGCUCUCAAGAUUGGGGUUUAACCUUUUUUGUACCUCUGUAAAGACAAUUUUAACGUGAGAAAACCAAAGCACUCAUUACCAAUGGUUUAAAGCUCCAUUCACAGUAGCAGCAAGGUGAAAAAAAAAUAAAGGCUGUUAAAUUUUGCGGUUGAAACUUGAGGACAUACCGAAAAUGUUGUGUCAAUGAAGUAAGCCAUCAAACCAUAUUUUGCCGUUCGGGCUUCAUUUUUGAAAAAAUGUUUUUUUUUUAAAUUUAUUUUCAACUACACAUUUUUCUAUAAGAUAAUGUUACACGUAAAUUCAAAAUUUUUACUUAUUUUUUAACUAUACAUUCCCAAAAAAAUCAUUGUUCCAAAAUACAUUUUCAUCCAAUAUUACAUUUUAAUGGAGCCCAAACGAAGGUGCUAUGCUACGUAUAUUGAGCUACGACUGUGAAGGGAAGGAAAGUUAAACCGAUGAAUAUAUAGUGCAAAGCGUCUUGUUGCUUAUUUAUAUCUACCUGACCUGCAAUCAACAAAAAGUACAGCACACCUUAGGGAGGGGCCUGAACAUGACCUCCCAUUUGCCGCAGGACACAAACCUCAGGGGGCCAAAAGAAGCAAAAAAAAAAAAAAUGAAGAUCAUCAAGGCAGAACCUAACACAAGUUGAGACAAUUACAGAGAAAAAUAGACCAAAACUAACAUGGGUCAUUGAUCAAAAAAUCAAGAAACGAAACUAAAAGAAUUAAGAAGACACUUGGACUAUCGUUCAGUGGAAUCUCUCAACAAUCUUUUUUUUUUUUUUUUUUUUCCCCUUCUUAUUUUUAUCCGACUUCUUGGCCUAAGGUCAUAGCACCAAAUUGAGUACUAGAUUCAACAAUUAUCUUAAGAAAGCACAUAAGAAACAGCUAGGUACUUUGCAUCAGAUAAACAACAGGAAGAACCAACAUUGAAGUUACUGAAAUUCCAUGUCUCCAUCUCUUCAAAUUAGACAUUAUUUCAACAGUCCAGGCAUUUCAAGAAAGACAUCAAAGCCAACUGACCUUAAUUUGCAAAAGAGACCCCUGGUGAAAACAGAAAAGGAUUUCAGAUAUUUGAUGAAAGAAACACACUCGAGUACUAUAGGAACAUAAGAAACAUACAGAGUGGUGAAGCAAGAAAAUUUACUUUUCAAGCCAAGGGGCUGGUAACCUAAAUUACUGCUGCUGAGACGAGAAGAUAUAUUUAUGAGGUACAUGAGAAACUUUCCACCAAUCUUCACCUGCAUCUCUCUGACAACACCUUUGGGAUCAGGGCAAUCUUGAAUAGAGAGGUGCUGGAGUUUUAUCAGGCGUUGAAAAGCAACAGGCAAAGACUUUAUAUUAGGGCAUUCUGAUAUUGC
rnacentral:lncRNA from 1 species